rnacentral:lncRNA from 1 species
AGAAAUCCAUAAGAUGAUAAUUAAUAAACACCCUCUCUUAAUAACAUAACAUAGGAGUCUUUAAACUUAUAUUCUUCAAACAAUUAUAAGCUGUCUUCAACUUUACUGUUAAACUACAAUUAUAAAGAAUUAAGAAUCACACACCAACAACAUUUAUAAGUCAUCACUCACAUGCAACAAGGUGCCUCAAUGUGAAUAAACCAAGAUCAAUAAGAAAUGAGGUUCCACUUAACCAAGCUGAGAAUUUUCUGGUUUUCCAGCUCCAUGCACAAACCUAAUACAAUGAUAUGAUAUUCAAUAUCAAGAGGUACCUUGUCGUAAAACUGAGAAUAUGAGGUUGCAUAGGAUGGAGAAAAGUAAGAAGAGGAUUUACCAAUUACCCUUUCAAAUGCAGCUCCUCAAGAUUUCAUAGUCCCUUCCUUCACUGCAAAUGCAACCCAAAUAUGUUAAAGAAGUUAAUGAAACCGGAAUAUGAAGAGUUUCGAAAUAAAAAUUCAACAUGUUGAAACUUGUAAUUUAGAAGUAUUGACGAUAAGGCAGUUUAGAUCCUGACCAAUGAAAGACUAAUUAGCAGGAGAGAGACUAGUUGACUGGCCUUCCUCUUCCUAUCUUCCCUUGUGUCUCUUGAAGACUGUGCAACAUUGCUUCCACUGGAUUCUUCAAUCUCACCAGCACCACCAUAUUCAUCAUCUUUCUUUUUGGAAUAAAGAGGGCAUAUGCCGCAUUCUUUUAUUGUGAUGCCAACGUCAUAAUCACGCGGACUGAUCUCAAAAGUGAAGCUGCGAGCAUCACAGAGCCUAAGGCUCAUGCCCUUCGCCCUUAGGGACUUCAUGUUAAAUUUCCAAACGAAUGUGUGAUCUUGAUCAAGACCUCUGUCUUCAUAACCCCAUUCGAAAUAGCUGGUGAACACAUCAUUAUUUGGAAUGAUCUGUGUGCCAUCAUCAUCAGAUUCAAAUUUUAGACUGUAACCAAAAGAACCAUAUCCACCUUCAAUAUCAUUCGUAUCUAACACUCCAACUACCACACACAAAGCGAAACCAGUGAGCCUAUCAUCGCUGCAGACACUUAAAUCUUCAUUUAUAGUCACUGAAUCUCCCUUCCCACGAAAAUGGAACCAACCAGGAACUGCACUCCCUGGAAAACAGAAGAACACACACCUAUAUGUAUCGUCGAUCAUCCUAAGCCUUGCAUCCUCCUCAAUGUUAGCACGACCACCUGAAUCCAGUUGUUGAGCAUUGGUGAAAUGAAAUUUGAAGACACCCUCUUUGGAAUUUGACAAGUUUCGAACAAGAGAAUUUGACAUCACUCUUCUAACGGAUGGGCAAUCCAAUGCCACUAGUUGUUUUAGAAAUGGUGGAAUCGGUGGGAUGCAUUCAAGCUUUUCGCAUUCGCUUAAAUCAAGCGAUUUCAAGCUCGAAAGAUGAGCAAAGCUCUCAGGAAGGCUCACGAUUCCGCUAUCACGCAGUGAGAGUUCCAUUAAUGACGUCAAACGACCAACAUGUCUUGGGAUUUCUGUUAAUUUGGCACACCCUGAACAAUCAAGUUUAGAGAGAAGCUUCAGAUUAACAAUGGAGUUUGGAAGUGACUCGAGAUCAAUGCAUUUGCGGAGCUCCAGGGAUCGUAGAUUAACCAAAUUGGCAAAUGAGGAAGGCAGUUCUUUAAUAGCCGUAGAUGUUAAGUUAAUGUGAGCAAAAGUAGGAGCCGGCUCCGUGAUAUCUGGGUAGGUCCUCAGGCUUGAGCAACCACACAAAUCAAGCUUCCUCAACUUCAAAUUGAAAAUGGUGCUUGGAAAAGUUUGAAGUGAAUUACAGUGGGUAAGGUCUAACUUGCAUAGUCCGGUGAGGCUUCCAAUGGAAGAUGGAAUAAUCUCAAGAUUCAAGCAACGGUGCAAACUCAGUUCUUCAAGCCCUACCAAACGUGUCCAAGAUGAAGGUAGUGCCUGUAUGGCUGUGUCGUCUAAGAUGAGCACCGUUAAAUCUUCCAACGUGUCCUGAAUCUCGGGUAAAUUUUCCAAUUUUGAGCAACCCCGGAGAGAAAGUUGCUUUAGGAAUUUCAUAUCAGAAAGAUGAAAUGGAAAGAUUGUAAGAGAAGAACAGUGAGAGAGAUCUAAGCGAUAGAACUGCUUGCGACUAAAGGUUAAGGACACACCUUCCUUGAGUUUUGUGAACACUUUUAAGUGUAUGGUAUUAUUAGCCACUUCUUCUUCCUUAUAUCUGUCAAAAGUAAUUGAGAAAAUUUGACUGGAAGUUGGGAAAAGACCAUGGCGUCGACGUUUACGACGCCGUCGUGAGAAAUUGAUCUCUUUCAUCAUAUCCGGUUCCAGACGAGGGAAUCUUGAGAAAGUUUGACGUUGACGCUCGAGUAUGACAUGAGGGAAUCUGGGUUCACUGGUUGAAAACAUAUUAAGCUUCGGACAACGGGAAAUAUUAAUCCAUCCUGGUGAUGUGGAUAAAAUGUUGCUGGGAAUAUUUACACUUUCGAGAUUAGAACAAUUAUCUAAACAUAAAUAACUGAGCUUGGUGAGGAAUAUCGAGGAGUGAACUUCAAUCAACUUUUCACAAGAACUCAGAAUUAUUUCUUCAAUAUUUGGUGACAUAGAAAGGUCUGGUAUUCUAGUAAGUUUCAGAGAACCAGUCAGGUCGACCCUUUUCAACUUGGGUAAAUUCUGCCACAAAUACUAAAUGAAUGAGGUAACAAAUAAAAACUACUUUAUCUAUUUUUCUUCGGUAAACUAAUUUAUUUUUCAGAAAUGAUGAAAAUUAUAACUAAACUAUAUAAAAUUCCAUUUUAUUCUACUCAUCCUUAAUUUUUUUGUGAAAUCUUGAUUUUGGGAUAAUAUCACUUAAACUUAAGAAAUAUUUGGCAUUAAUGAACUCUAAACAAAUUCAUAUAAGAUAUACAUCACUUUCAAUCCAAAAUCUUAAACUAAUAGGUUUAUGAAUUUUCUUUAUAUGUUGUUUUAAAAAGUUGAGACUAAAUUGAACUUUUGAAAAUUGGGAGGAUGAAAUUAUAUUUUGUCUAUUAAUAUAGGGAUUAAAAAAAUAAUUGAAUCAAAUAUUACUAUUUUUGUGAUGUAUAUUUAUAUAUAAAUAAUUUUGAGAAUUUAGAGUUAUAUCAUAUAUAUAUAUAUAUAUAAAAUUCUUUUUGGUAAUGUAUCCUGUAAUUGUAAGCAAGUAUGAUUAUAUUAAGUGGGUGCGUUUCAAAUAGAGGAGACUACGCACAUACAAAUAUCUCUUAUAAAGUAAGAAAACAAACAAACCGUUACUCAAGAAGAUCAUGUAAUGCAUGACAGACAACAUGGGGAGAUAUCUAUCAUCAAUAAUAAAACGAUGUUUUCUGAGAGUUAAAAUUAAACCUUAUUUAAAAUAAGUCCAUCUUUCCAUAUUUUAUAAUUUGUUGUAUAUUAUAUUGAAGUUUAUGUUAUAAUAAAAAAAAUGACUUAAUUAAUCAAAUAAUGUGGAGAAGGCACAAAGGAAUUGCAAAUGAAAACCAGUAGAUGUAUAAUACAGAAAACAUGCUUGUAUAACUUAUUUUUGUCUUUGAAAGUUUAGAACACAAAGAAACAUAGAUAGCUUGAAAAACCUGAUCUCCUUCCCAAAGUUGUUCAAGAUUGCAGCCUGGCAUUUUGAGGGUCACUAGACUUUGUGGGCAAAAGUUUGGAGGCCAAAAUCUUUGAAGGAAAUUGUCCCAAUAAAGAAUCUUUAAAGUGUCCGGCAGAUCUACAAGAGAUGAUUCAAGAGACUCAUAAGAUUGUCCAUCUUUUCGAAACUUUGUGCAUGUACUACAGCAUCUUUUACUUUGUUCGUAUGUAGUAAUAUACACUGUAUUGCAUCUGACCCCUGAAAGUAAAUCAAUGUAAUUAGAAGAAAAAAACAUGAAAUGUUGCAUUGCAGGAUGUUUGAUGACAGCUCAGUGGUUUGCAAUUUUUCACAAAGUAAAUCCAUGUUCAAUUGAGUAACGACAUAAUACCUUGUUCUUUCUUAAAACCUCUCAAAUUUCCUCAGCAUUAAACAAUCGGCUGCGUUUUCCAGGAUGCUGAGGACACUCUUUACGAACAAUUUCUUGACUCAUUUCUUGUAUUAGAUCGUGCAUCACAAUUCUACCAUCAAAGACAGAUAUUAGGCCCCUAUCUUUGAGAAUAUCCAUUCCAAUCUUAGAAGAGAAACCACAGUCAGCAAGUGUUUCUGCUACCACAAUCUCCUGGCGUCCUCUAUAAAAGCAAGCUAUGUCAAGAAAUAUAUUCUUCUCCUCCUCCUCCAGCCCAUCAUAACUUAAUUUUAAUACAUUGAAAAUAUCAAGAUGUUGGCCCUUUUCCAACUUUUGCAACUGACUCUCCCAUGCUUCUCUUGUUCUGCCAUAAAGCAAUGACCCCAAAAUCUAGAGAGCUAAUGGAAUCCCUUUUGCAUAUCUCAACACCUUUUCUGACAGUUCCCUGUAAGCAAUUUCUUCUGAAGAUUUUUGUUUAAAAGCAAGUAAACUAAAAAGUUUCUGAGAAUCAUCAAAAUUCAACUCCUUAACUUCGUAGAUAUCAUCAGCUCUAGCAUUCUUAAGCACUUGUUUGUCUCUACUGGUGAUAAUCAUUCUACUGCCCUGCCCAAAACUAUCACUCCCUCCUAUUAAUUUUUUAAGUAGAGCUGAAUCGGUAACAUCAUCAAGAAUGAGGAGAGCCUUUGUCCGUUUCAGCCUUUCAUUGUAAUAUGAUAAACCAUGGGAUUUCUUUAUCUCUUCCUUUAGAAGCUCAGACAGAUAUUUUGUUCUGAUACUGUCUAUUCCAUCUUUUUGUAUUUUUUCUUGAACGUCUAAAACAAGGCUGCUGGAACCAAACUGCAAAGCCAAUGUGUGAUAUAUUUGAUAACAAAUUGUAGUUUUUCCUAUUCCUCCCAUGCCACAAAUUCCUAUGAUCCGAACAUGCGGUGACUCAAGAUGCAACAAGGACUGAAUUCCUUCAAUGUGUUUUUCAAUGCCGAUGAUUCCUUGAUCAUAACUGGUGGAAUAACGAUUCAAUUUUCUCAAAAUAUCUUCCACAAUUUCUUCAACAAGUGUGUGUUCUGGCCUGGCAGAUGAUUUAGAAAAUAAAGUAUAAGUAUUCAAGCACAAAAGCUAAACUAAACUAAAGAAAAAAUCAGAGUUAAGAGGAGUGAACAUCAUUGAAUAGAUUCACAUAUCGAUUCUAGUUUCGAGUUUUGGAUAAAAUAAAUAAAUUAAAAAGUUGAAGGUAAGUAUAGGACGUUAUCUUCGUAUAUUAGUUUGGUUGGUUUAGAAAUUGCAAAUCAAGAUGGCAAAAAUACUACAGUAACCGUUUGUGACUUCUGAUAAUAGGGAGCAGAUUUGUAGGUACAAAGUUAAGCUAUAACAUGUGAUAUGGUUCAGAUCCAUGACCGACUAAAAGAAAGACUUGAUUUAUGGUGAGAUGAACACAAUUUUAGUAAAUGAAAAGAAAUCCUGUUUAUCUCGAAAUUAUCUAAUAAAUAUAAUGACCUGGUGACUUUUGAAUCCCAGCCUGAAAGUCCAGCAGCUUCGGUGAGAGCAUCCUUCCAUCCUUGCGCUUUGACCAUGUCGUGCAUAAACCGCUGUUCAUGAUCAUCGAAUGAUUCUUUGUAUCUUUCUUCCUGCUUCCUAAUAGUUGAUGGAUCCACCUUGUAGAAAACAGGUAUCACAUCCCUUCCAAAUCUCUUCUUGCAUUCAAGUAUCUUACUGAGUUCAUUCAAGCACCAAGUGGAAGAUGCAUAGUUUUGGGAGAAAACGAUGACAUAAAUCUUUGAUUCUUCUAUUGCAGAGAGCAGUGCAGGUGAAAUUUCUUCGCCCCUGAGUAGUCUAUAAUCAAUAUAUGCUUCAAUGUUCUUCCUUUGCAGUGCUGCAUAAAGGUGGCUAAUGAAGUUGUCACGUGUGUCUUCGCCUCUGAAGCUGAGAAACACAUCAUGCCUUGUUAGAGAAGUAGACACGGCCAAUGAUGAAGGACUUUCUGACAUUGGAGUCAAUUUUCUCUCCUUUCUCUGCAAUUCUCAGGUCUCUUUCUUUGUACUGUUUCUACCACAAAUCUACUCUGCUGCUCUGGACUCAUUAUAAAACACAAGUCAACUUUUGAAAAAGUCUUUCAAUUUUCUUAACAUUCCUUUCACAGAUAUGUGUUCUGGUCAGACAUCGUAGUCAGCAGAAACUAAAGAAAAAGAAAAAUAUUAAUUUAAUAGAAUAGUCAACAAAUUGCAAAAUAAGUAUGGAAUCUAGAUUUAUAUCAUUAUCACGUGUGGAAACAUAGCUACGUCUUCUUAGAUAAAAUCCUUAUUUAAGUUUUAAUUGGGCCUUGUAGUGGGCUUUGUAAUCUGCUUUUCUUUUCUCCUAUAUUGCUUUAUAUAUACACCUCCACUUUUGCUUUCUACAUUUCAUUUUACAAAAUACAUUCUCUCAUUCUGUGUCAUUUAUCUUGCCUGAUUCCGUCCUCUCUUUAUCUUUUUCUCUCAUCCUCUUGCUUAUAAUUCUUUUGUUUUUAUUAAGAAAUACACUAUAAUUCUAAUUUAAUCAUAUACUAUAAUUAUGCUAAUCAUCAAUUAGUACUAUAUAUUAUUAAUGAUCUGCGUAUAUAUUAUUUAUGAUUUGCGGAUAAGACAAUAGAUUCAAUAAAUUCUAGAUAAAAUAAAUUUUAAAUGAAUAUGAUAAAAAUAUAUUAAAAAAUGAACUUUAUUGAAUCGAUUGAGUAUCUCUAUUUUAAAGACUUGUAAGAAUAAUAGGAAUAACAAUAUAUUAAUAUUAAUAUGUUUCUUAAUAAAUUUCAUACCCACUAUCUAUUUAUAAAUUAAUAUAUUAUAAAUAUCUAAUGAUGUCUUAUUUCUCUAACAUUUAAAAUUAAAUUUGUAGAUUCUACAAAACAUUACAUUUUGAUUUUAAUAUUUAUAAAAUAUUUUUUAUUCUCAUAUUUAAAAAACAAAACUUAGUUUGAGUGUAUUCCUUAGUUACUUACUACUCAUCACCAGCCGCCAACAGCGUGAUGGCUUCACUCUCCGUUCGCGCCACAACCACCUCUUAUCGGGCCUCCUUCCGGCCCAAGCCCACCUCGGGGCCCACCAGGGUCCGAAUGUCCCUCCGCGAUGACGGCCCCGCCAUCGCCGUCGUCGGCGUCACCGGCGCCGUUGGCGAGGAGUUCCUCUCCGACCGCGACUUCCCCUACCGUUCCAUCAAAAUGCUGGCCUCGCAGCUCUCCGCCGGCCGCCGCAUCAUCUUCGAGGACAGGGACUACGUCGUGGAGGAGCUCACAGCGGAUAGCUUCGACGGCGUCGACAUUGCGCUCUUUAGCGCCGGCGGUGGUAGACUAUAGCUCCGCAUUUGGGAUGGACGAGAAGGUGACGCUGGUUAUUCCCGAAGUGAAGCCCCAAACGAUGCAACACAUCAAAGUUGGAACGGGAAAAGGCGCUCUGAUUGCGAACCCUAAUUGCUCCACCAUUAUUUGCUUGAUGGACAUACUAAUUAAUAUCAAUUAUAACAAAUAAUGAACGUUUCUGGUCAUUUCUUGUACUUCGCGUUAUUUCAUAACAGUAGUUUUUUUAAAUAAAUUAAGAAAAAUAUUCAUUUUUAAAUUUAAUGCACUUUUAAAUAAUUUGACUAUUAUAAACAUAAUCACUUAUAAAAAUAAUUUUAGAGUAGUUGAUAUAAUUAAAAUAAAAUAUUUUAUUAUUAAAGUAAAAAUUAUAUAUAAAUAAAAAAUAGGUUUUAUUUUAAAAUAAUAUUCAAUUUUAUAAAAGUUUUUUCUUUUUGUCUUUUUUUUUUUAUAUUUCUAACCAUAUUUUUUCGUGAGGUUGAUAAUAGAAUCUCACUUUGGAUUUAUGGGAAUGAAUAAUGAAUUAGUUUUUAGUUUUCUAUUUAUCUAUAUAUAAAGGUGAUACGGUGACAAAUUCCAAAAUUUUAUUAUAAUGUUUGCUUUGUUGAUUGAAAUAGAUGUUAAUUGAUGAAAAAGAUUGAAAGUUUUAAACCCAAUACACCCCUCACGUCGAGGUUAGGUGGACUGAUAAGUUCAGCAAAAUCUCGUUAUGAUAGUUUUUAGAUGACUCUGAUACCACAAUAAAAAAUAAACUUUAAAUUUAACUCAACCUUACAAAACUAAUUUAUAAAGUGAGCUAUGUAUCCCUAGUCGAUGUAGAAUCUCUAACAAUGAUUUAAAUGAAUUGUUAUAUGCUUUAUGAAGUUUAACCUUUAUUUUUACUUGACAAAUUGGAUUUUAAUGAGGUAUAUAUGCUCUCAGCAUCAAAUCCGCUUAACGAAAUUUAUAUGUGUCAAGCGAAUUUGGACAUGUAGAGUUUGAUGUGCUCUUGGCCUCAAAUCCGCUCAAUGUUUUUUUUUCCUGUACUUAAGCAAACUUACAUCCAGAUUUUGGAGUACUUUCGAACUCAAAUUUGCUCAAAGAAAUUUUCUUAUGGUAAGCAAAUUUAAGCGGCUAUUGUUUGGAUGUUCUCUGCCUCAAAUUCGUUCAGUGAAAUUUUCCUGUGCUAAGGAGAUUUCUCUGGGCUUAAGCCCCAACUUCAUGGGCUCGACCCAUUUUGACGACAUUUGUCAUCUUUGCUUAGAUAUCUUUUGGUUUGUUUUCUAUAGGUCAUGAAAUUGAAUUAAAUCUUUUGAAAUUUAUCAUUUUGUAAAUUGUAAGUGAUUACAACUUUCUAAUGUUCAUGCAACAUGUGUUUAAAAUAAGUAAAUCUAACAAAUAAAUACUCGUUACAUAUUCAAUGGAAAGCUUUUUCUUUUAAUUCUUUGGUGUUUUAUUUUGAUGAUGUAUAUAUUUGAAAAUCAAUGUAUGAAUGGAUAAUGCUUUAUGAUAUAAUAAUAUUACAAUGUAAAUGUUAUUUAUAUACUAUCACAUGAUAAAUUAAAAUUUAAUAAGAUAGUUAAGGAUGUUAUAAUUAUUCUUUUAAUUUAUUUUAUUUCACUGUAUAUUUAGGUGUAUUACGUAGAAUGUAUAGUUAAAAAAAUAAUGUUAUUUUGAAAUUUAAAGAAUGACGUAUAGAAAUAAACAAGCUUUUGUUAAAAUUAUACUAUUUGAAAAGGAACACAGAACAAUAUUGACAAUUAUACUUUUACUUAUUACUUAUUUUAAUUUAUUAUAUUCAUGAGUAUUAUUUUUUUUAAACAUAGAUAUUGGAUAAAAAAUAUAAAUAACAUUUAUUUAUUUCAAAUUUAAAAAUCUUUAAAAUAAAAUUAAAUAAUAUUUUUAAUUAAGAUGUGUUUUUUAACAAUUUUUUUAAUUUAAAAAAUAAUUAAUUCGGAGGAUGAUUAAAGAAAUAUUAACAAAUUAUUUCUGCGUUUAUAAUAAACCUUCAAUAAUAUUUGUACUUUCUAGCAUAUAGAAUACUUAAUGGAUCCCUUUGUGAUUUUUCUUUUCUAAAGUGCAAUUGAUAUUUUAAAUGUUUUUCUAUUUAAUUUUCCUUUCUUAAUGACACAUUAAAGGGUUCAGUGCACGAUUAAUUAUUCUCACCUUAGAUUUCAUUCAUCUCAUUCCAUUUCCACACUCAAAUCAUUCUCACAUUUUUUUCUACCUAUUUCACAAAGUUUUAUGUAAAAUAUGGAAAUUAAACUAAAAGAACCCUACUUAUAUAUUAAUAUUCAACAACUUAAAAUAUUACUAUGCAAAUUAAUCUUUCUUAAUAAUGUUAUGUAAAAAUUAAAAUGUAGUUUAGUCAUUCAUACUUAGAUGGAUAAAGAUGGUUUUAGAAAAAAAAUGCAUUUUAUUUCAAAUCUAUUACUUAUAAAAUGAGUUAUAAAAUGAGGUUUGUGAUAUUUAUUCAAAAUUUAAAUUAUAUUAUGCAUUUAUGGUUUUAUGUUUUUAAAGAAAUCAGAAACUUAGAAAAGCUCCUAAAAACUACUGAAAUCCAUAAGAUGAUAAUUAAUAAACAUCCUCUCUUAAUAACAUAACAUAUAAGAUAGGAGUCUUUACACUUAUAUUCUUCAAACAAUUAUAAGCUGUCUUCAACUUUACUGUUAAACUACAAUUAUAAAGAAUUAACAAUCUCACACACCAACAACAUUUAUAAGCCAUCACUCACAUGAAACAAGGUGCCUCAAUGUGAAAAAACCAAGAUCAAUAAGAAAUGAGGUUCCACUUAACCAAGCUGAGAAUUUUCUGGUUUUCCAACUCCAUGCACAAACCUAAUACAAUGAUAUGAUAUUCAAUCAGCAUUAAUUGGCAUAAACAGGUACAUUGUUGUAAAACUGGGAUUAUAAGGUUCCAUAGGAUGGAGAAAAGUAAGAAGAGGAUUUACCAAUUACCCUUUCAAAUGGAGCUCCUCAGGAUUUCAUAAUGCCUUCACUGCAAAUGCAACCCAAAUAUGCUAAAAAAGUUAAUGAAACUAUAUAUGAAGAGUUUCAAGAAAAUGCAACUCUGGGACAACAGAGAAACCCAUCUCAUGCUGAACAGAAACAUCAAACUAUAUCUAACAAUAACUUAGAAAUCUUUGUCAACAAUUGAACGAACCCACUCCUAAAAUGCCAUUGAAAAUGUAAAUAAAACAAAAUAAAUUAAAAACGAGAAAUUCAUAAUAAAAAUUCAACGUGUUGAAACUUAUGAUAACUCAGUUUAGAUCCUGACCAAUGAAAGACUAAUUAGCAGAAGAGGAAGAGACUAGUUGACAGGGUAGCUUUCGGCCUUUCUCUUCCUAUCUUUCCUUGUUUCUCUUGAAGACUGUGCAACAUUGCUUCCACUGGAUUCUUCAAUGUCAACAUCACCACCAUAUUUAUCAUCUUUCUUUUUGGUAUAAAGGGGGCAUAUGCCGCAUUCUUUUAUUGUGAUGUCUGAUGCCAUCACUCUCACACCUGAUUUGUAACUAUACAGACUGAUCUCAAAAGUGAAGCUGCGAGCAUCACAGACCCUAAGGCUCUUGCGGCUCGCCGUUAGGGACUCCAUGUUAAAUUUCCACACGAAUGUGUGAUCUUCAUCAACACAUCUGUGUUCACCAUUCCAUUUGAAAUAGCUGUUUAACACAUCAUUAUUUAGAAUGAUCUGUGUGCCAUCAUCAUCAUCAGAUUCAAAUUUUAGACUGUAACCAAAAGAACCAUAUCUACAUUUAACAGCUUUCGUAUCUAACACUCCAAAAACCACACACAAAGCGAAACCAGUGAGCCUAUCAUCGCUGCAGAAACUUAAAUCUUCAUUUAUAGUCACUGAAUGUCCCUUCCCACGAGAAUGGAACCAACGAGGAACUGCAUUCCCUGGAAAACAGAAGAACACAGACCUAUAUGCAUCGUCGGUCAUCCUAACCCAUGCAUCCUCCUCAAUGUUAGCACGAGCACCUGAAUCCAGUUGCUGAGCAUUGGUGAAAUGAAAUUUGAAGACACCCUCUUUGGAGUUUGAGAAGUUUGGAACAAGAGAAUUUGACAUCACUCUUCUGAUGGAUGGGCAAUCCAAUGCCACGAGUUGUUUUAGAAAUGGUGGAAUCUGUGGGAUGGAUUCAAGUUUUUUGCAGUCGCUUAAAUCGAGCGAGUUCAAGCUUGAAAGAUGAGCAAUGCUCUCAGGAAGGUUCACGAUUCCGCUAUCACGCAGUGACAGUUCCAUUAAUGACGUCAAGCGACCGAUGUGGCUUGGGAUUUCUGUUAAUUUGGCACACCCCGAACAAUCAAGUUUAGAGAGAAGCUUCAGAUUAACAAUGGAGUUUGGAAGUGACUCGAGAUGAAUGCACUCUUGGAGUUCCAGGGAUCGAAGAUUAACGAAAUUGCCAAAUGAGGAAGGCAGUUCUUUAACAGCCGUAGAUGUUAAGUUAAUGUGAGCAAAAGUAUGAGCCGGCUCCGCGAUCUCUGGGAAGGUCCUCAGCCUUGAGCAACCACGCAAAUCAAGGUUCCUCAACUUCAAAUUGAAAAUGGUGCUUGGAAAAGUUUGAAGUGAAUUACAGUGGGUAAGGUCUAACUUGCAUAGUCUGGUGAGGGUUCCAAUGGAAGAUGGAAUAAUCUCAAGAUUCAAGCAACUGCGCAAACUCAGUCCUUGAAGCCCUACCAAACGGCACAAGGAUGAAGGUAGUGCCUGUAUGGCUGUGCCGUCUAAGAUGAGCACCACUAGAUCUUCCAACGUGUCCUGAAUCUCGGGUAAAUUUUCCAAUUUUGAGCAACCACUGAGAGAAAGUUUCUUUAUGAAUUUCAUAUCAGAAAGGUGAAAUGGAAAGAUUGUAAGGGAAGAACAGUGAGAGAGAUCUAAGUAACAGAGCUUCUUGCGAUUAAAGUUGAAGUGACAGAGCUUCAUGAGUUUUGUGAACACUUUAAAACAUAUAGUAUCAUUAGCCACUUCUUCUUCCUUAUAUCUGUCAAAAGUAAUUGAGAAAAUUUCACUGGAAGUUGGGAAAAAAGGACCACGGUGUCGACGUUUACCACGCCGUCCUGAGAAAUUCGUCAUAUCCGGUUCCUGACGAGGGAAUAUUGAGAAAGUUUGAAGUUGACGCUCCAGUAUCACAUGAGGGAAUCUGGGUUUACUGAUCGAAAACAUAUUAAGCUUCGGACAACGGGAAAGAGUAAUCCAUCCUGGUGAUGUGGAUAAAAUGUUGCUGGGAAUAUUUACACUAUUCAGAUCAUUACAAUCAUCUAAACAUAAACAACUGAGCUUGUUGAGGAAUAUCCAAGAGUGAACUUCAAUCAACUUUUCACAACUUUUCAGAAUUAUUUCUUCAAUAUUUGGUGACAUAGAAAGGUCUGGUAUUCUAGUAAGUUUCCGAGAAUAACUCAGGUCGAGCCUUUUCAAGUUGGGUAAAUUCUGCCACAAAUAGGAAAUGAAUGAGGUAACAAAUAAAAACUACUUUAUCUAUUUUUCUUCGGUAAAAUAUUAGCUACAUCAUCUAAUCUAUUCACUUUAUAUUUUACAUUACUUCAAAACCACUGUUAAAAAAAAUCACACUGUCAACUAACAAAACUGUGGCUAUAAAUUUAAUAGUUAUUAUAAAAAACCACAAAAUUUAACGUGUUUUUGUUCCCUACCUCAAAUUACAUCCUAAUAAUUUGAACCUAAACUUAUUAUGUAUUUAAAAACUGAUGAUAGUAAUUUAUAAUCGAUGACAGUGUGGAAAUACUUUAUAUCAUGCAUGUAUCAACUGACAAAAUAAAAUGGUGUUGUCUGAUGAUAGUAAUUUAUAAUCGAUGACCAUCUUUCCAUAAUUUAUUUUAUUAAAUACAUAAUUUGUUGUAUAUUAUAUUGAAGUUUAUGUUAUAAUAAUAAAAAAAUACUUAAUUAGGUUUUGAGUAUCCAGUAAGACAUUUUUAAUUAAUUUUUUUAUUAAAUUUUUUAAUUAUUUAAGUACUCAAAUUUUUUAUAUUUCCAAUAGAAUAUAUGUCAUUUUUAAUUUUUGAGUUAAUUGGGUGAUACAGAAAUUAUCUUGUCACAUGAUCUUACUUACUUGUCUUUAUGUAUUAAGGAAUAUGAAGUUUUAUGAUUGGCCAUUAGACUAUAUACCUAAAAAGAGGAUGCAAACUCUUCUACAUGCUACUAAAUUUAUAACUAUCUUUAAUUAGAAACAUGCUGAGUAUGAUUCUUAUGAUAUAUGUAUAACUGUGUGGUUCAAAUAAAAGAAAUUUCAAAUCGAAUAAUGUGGAGAAGCACAAAGGAAUUGCAAAUGAAAACCAGUAGAUGUAUAAUACAGAAAACAUGCUUGUAUAACUUAUUUUUGUCUUUGAAAGUUUAGAACACAAAGAAACAUAGAUAGCUUGAAAAACCUGAUCUCCUUCCCAGAGUUGUUCAAGAUGGCAGUAUGGCAUUUCGAGGGUCACUAGAUUUUGCGGGCAAAAGUUUGGAGGCAAAGAUCUUUGAGGGAAAUGUUUCCAAUAAAGAAUCUUUAGAGUGUCUGGCAGACCUACAAUAGAUGAUUCAAGAGACACAUUUGACGUGUAUUUUGGCGUGUUGAGCAUAAGCAUCCUAAGAUUGUCCAUCUUUUCGAAACUUUGUGCAUGUACUACAACUUCAUUUACUUUGCUCGUAUCUAGUGAUAUACACUGUAUUGCAUCUAACCCCUGAAAGUAAAUCAAUGUAAUUAGAAAAAAAAAGCAUGAAAUGUUGCUGUAUGGUUAUGGGCAGAUUGAUGAGAUAUGGUAACCUUCGGAUACUGAUCAUGAAGUGACAUAAAGGAGAAGGAAGCGUUACUGAAGGAGAGUAAUGGAAAUUUAUGAGAAAUUAAGCCGUUGGUUACAGAGACUAGGUAGGGACCGAGUCAUCUAUACCAGGGACCGAGUCAUCUAUAAGAGGAGGCAGAGACGAAGAGUAGGGGUAGGAAAAAAAGAUAUGGUUUUUAUAUUAUCUUUGAUGCUCUAGCUAAGGAUCAUCUGUCCUAAAACAGUUGCAUUUCUGGAUGUUUAAUGACAGCUCAAUAGUUUGCAGUUUUUUCACAAAGUAACAACAGAAUAUACCUUGUUUUUUCUUAAAACAUCACAAAUUUCCUCAGCAUUAAACAGUCGGCUGCGUUUUCCAGGAUGCCGACGACACUCUUUACGAACAAUUUCUUGACCCAUUUCUUGUAUUAGAUCGUGCAUCAUAAUAAUACCAUUAAAGACAGAUAUUAGGCACCUAUCUUUGAGAACAUCCAUUACAAUCUUAGUAGAGAAACCAUUGCAGUCAUCAAGUAUUUCUGCCAGCACAAUCUCCUGGUAUCCUCUAUAAAAGCAAGCAAUGUCAAGAAAUAUAUUCUUCUCCACCUCCUCGAGCCCAUCAUAACUUAAUUUUAAUACAUUGAAAAUACCAUGAUGUUGGCCCUUUUUCAACUUUUGCAACUGACUUUCCCAUGCUUCUUUUGUUCUGUCACAAAGCAAUGAGCCCAAAAUCUGGAGAGCUAACGGAAUCCCUUUUGCAUAACUCAACACCUUUCCUGACAGUUCCUUGUAAGCAAUUUCUUCUGAAGAUUUUUGUUUAAAAGCAUGUAAACUAAAAAGUCUUAGAGAAUCAUCAGAAUUCAACUCCUUAACUUCGUAGAUAUCAUCAGCUCUAGCAUUCUUAAGCACUUGUCUGUCUCUACUGGUCAUAAUGAUUCUACUGCCCUGCCUAAAACUAUCACUCCAUCCUAUUAAUUUUUGAAGUUGAGCUGAAUCGGUAACAUCAUCAAGAAUGAGGAGAGCCUUUGUCCGUUUGAGCCUUUCUUUGUAAUAUGGUAAAGAAGAAGAUUUCUCUUCCUUUAGAAGCUCAGACAGAUAUUUUGUUCUGAUACUAUCUAUUCCAUCUCUUUGUAUUUUUUCUUGAACGUCUAAAACAAGGCUGCUGGAAUCAAACUGCAAUGCCAAUUUCUGAUAUAUUUGAUCACAAAUUGUACUUUUUCCUAUUCCUCCCAUGCCCCAAAUUCCUAUGAUCCGAACAUCCGGUGACUCAGGAUGCAACAAGGACUGAAUUCCUUCAAUAUGUUUUUGAAUGCCGAUGAUUCCUUGAUCAUAACUGGUGGAAUAAAGAUUCAAUUUUCCCAAAAUAUCUUCCACAAUUUUUUCAACAAGUUUGUGGUCAUUCCUGGCAGAUGAUUUAGAAAAUAAAGUAUAAGAAUUCAAGCACAAAAGCUAAACUAAACUAAAGAAAAAUUCAGAGUCAAGAGGAGUGAACAUCAUUGAAUAGAUUCACAUAUCGAUUCUAGUUUCGAGUUCUGGAUAAAAUAAAUAAAUUAAAAAGUUGAAGGUAAGUUUAGGACGUUAUCUUCCUAUAUUAGUUUGGUUGGUUUAGUAAUUGCAAAUCAAGAUCGCAGAAAUUCUACAGUAACCGUAUGUGACUUCUGAUAAUAGGGAGCAGAUUUGUAGGUACAAAGUUAAGCUAUAACAUGUGAUAUGGUUCAGAUCCAUGACCGACUAAGAGAAAUGAAAAAAGAAACACUUGAUUUAUGGUGAGAUGAACACAAUUUUAGUAAAUGAAAAGAGAUCCUGAUUAUCUAAUAAAUAUAAUGACCUGGUGACUUUUGAAUCCCAGCCUGCAAGUUCAGCAGCUUCGGUUAGAGCAUCCUUCCAUCCUUGCACUCUGUCCAUGUCGUGCUUAAGCCGCUGUUCAUGCUCAUCAAAUGCUUCUUUGAAUCUUUGUUCCUGCUUCCUAAUAGUUGAUGGAUCCACCUUGUAGAAAACAGGUAUCACAUCCCUUCCAUAUCUCUUCUUGCAUUCAAGUAUCUUAGUGAGUUCAUUCAAGCACCAAGUGGAAGAUGCAUAGUUUUGGGAGAAAACGAUGACAUAAAUCUUUGAUUCUUCUAUUGCAGAGAGUAGUGCAGGUGAAAUUUCUUCGCCCCGGGGUAGUCUCUCGUCAAUAUAUGCUUGAAUGUUCUUCCUUUGCAGUGCUGCAUGAAGGUGACGAAUGAAGUUGUCACGUGUGUCUUCCCCUCUGAAGCUGAGAAACACAUCAUGCUUUGUUAGAGAAGCAGACACGGGGAAUGAUGAAGGACUUCCUGACAUUGGAAUCAAUUUUCUCUCUUUUCUCUUGCAACUCUCAGUGCCUUUGUUUGUACACAAAUCAACUCUUGGAAAAGUCUUUGAAUUUUCUCAAAAGUAUCUUUCACAGAUCACGCACGCGUGGAAACAUAGCUGUGUUAAAAUCCUUAUUUAAGUUUUAAUUGGGCCUUGUAGUGGGCUUUGUAAUGUGCUUUUCUUUUCUCCUACAUUGCUUUAUAUAUACACCUCAGCGUUUGCUUUCUACAUUUCAUUUUACAAAAUACAUUCUCUCAUUUUCUACCUUUUAUAUUGUCUGAUUCCGUUCUCUCUUUAUUUUUUUUCAAAUCUCUUUUGCUUACAAUUUUUUUUUCUUUUUUAAGAAAUGUACUUUUUCAAGUUUAAUUUAAUUUUAUAAAACAGUCAUCUUUCUACAGUAUUAUCAUCUCUUACGUGAGAUUAUUAUAUAUUAUUUGGUGAUCUAAGUAAACUUUUAAUCCAAUAAACUUUAAAAAUAAUUCUAAUACUAUAUUAAAAAAUGAAAUUUAAAUCUAAUUCUAUUUUAUAAAAUAUAUUUAUUCAAUGCUAAAAUAUCUCUAAUUGAGUAGGGAUGUUCAAAAUACUUAUUGGUUCUUGAUUUUCACUUUCACUUUUAAGGUUUUUCUUCGCAGACACGUAGUAAACAGAAAUACAAAAAUAUGAGUCAAUGGAAGAGUCUAACGAUUCGCAGAAUAUUAUGGUGUCUAGCUUUAUACCGCAUUAAUGCGAGGAGUUUCUUUAAUAUUUUUACUCAAUUUAUUUAUUUUUAAUUCUUUUUUUUUUCACACCUUUUACAAAUAAAGAAUCGUAUUUCUUUAAUAUAUUUUAGAAAAUAACCACUAAACCUUAUUAUAAAAUAUAUUUAUGAAAUGCACGUGUAAGAAUAACAGGAAAAAUAUUACUACGAAAAACAAUAUAUUAAUAUUAAUAUGUUUCUUAAUAAAUUUCAUACCCACUGUCUAUUUAUAAAUUAAUAUAAUAUAAAUAUCUUUAAUGAUGUUUUUGUGGGUAGCUUAUUUCUCUAACGCAGAAUAUUAUGGUGUCUACUUUUAUAAAACAUUACAUUUUGAUUUUAAUAUUUAUUAAAUAUUUUUUAUUUGGGAUGAAGUAACGAUGAUGAAUCGAAUGUGUUUUGAAGUCUGACAUAACUUUUAGAGAUGUUAUGAGAACGGUUAAUGACGGAAAUUAUCAAAAACCUUUUGGGGGAAGGUUGUGGUUUUGGGAGGUGAUUUCAGGUAAAUAUUGUUAGUGGUAAAAAAAGGAUUAAGAUAUGAUGUUGUGAAGUCAACAAUCAACUUUUCUCAUUUGUGGUUAAAUUGUCGAGUCUUAAAACUUUCUCAAGGAAAUCCAACACGAUCUAUUGAUUGAGCCCACAAAAACACCUUUGUUAUCAUUGGUGAAUUUUGUUUAUCCUAAUUUAUUGACUGAUAUGUUAUGUCCUGAGUACUUUGAGUAUGGAGCAAUACUUUGUCCGACAACUGAAUCAGUAGAGCAAGUGAAUGAUUUUAUUUUAUCUCUGUUAAGUGGUAAAUAAAUAAAUUAUCUUAGUUCGGAUACACCUUGCCAAUUAGAUUAAGAUCAAGAAUUUAAAGUGAAUGGUUCACUUCUGAGUUCUUAAAUGAGAUAAAAUGUUCAGAGAUACUAAAUCAUCGCCUUCAUUUGAAAAUUGGCGUGCCUAUUAUGCUUUUGAGAAAUAUUGAUCAAACCAACGGUCUUUGUAAUGGAACAAGGUUGCAAGUUAUUGAUUUGAAGAAAAUGUUAUUUGUGCAAUAGUUCUAACAGGAACAAAUAUUGGUGAUAAAAUCUUUAUUUCAAUAAUGAAUUUGAUCCCUUUAGAUGUAGGUAUGCCAUUCAAAUUCUAGAGAAGACAAUUUCCAAUAACUUUAUGUUUUGCAAUGACAAUUAAGAAAAGUCAAAGUCAAUUAUUGACCAAAGUUGGUUUAUAUUUUUCACGUCCAAUUUUCACACAUUGAUAGUUGGAUGUAGCUAUUUAUAGAGUUAGAAAGAAAAAAAUUUAAAAAUUCUAACUCUUGAUGAAGAUGGGAAUGCAACAAACAAGAAAAAGAAAAUGUUUACACUGAAACUUUUGACAAUAUUUAAAAACAAUAGAAUUAUAUGAUAAACUUGGAAUAAUGGCUAAUUCUCCCUGCACCCAAUAUUUUUGAACAUGCAACUUUUAAAUUUGCUCCCUUGUAAUUAUAUUUUCUUAUGUGUGAUGUAGUAACAGUUGCCUUAUUUAAAAUGUUACUAAAUAACAUAUCAUUUAUAUCUGUUAUUUUUAUUCUGUUCUGAUUUUAUAUAUAUGUUAACGAAGUUGAGAAUUUUCUGAUUUUACAGGUCCAUGCACAAACCUAAUAUAAUGAUAUGAUAUUCAAUAUCAAGAGGUACUUGUCGUAAAACGGGGAAUAUGAGAGACUCCAUAGAAUGAAGAAAAAGUAUAAAGAGGAUUUACAAAUUACCCUUUCAAAUGCAGCUCCUCAGAAUUUCUUAAUGCCUUCACUGCAAAUGCAACCCAAAUAAGCUAAAGAAGUUAAUCAAACUAUACAUUAAGAGUUUCAAGAAAAUGAAACUCUGGAACAACAGAGCAACCCAUCUCAUGCUCAAUAGAAACAUCAAACUAUAUCUAACAAUAACUUAGAAAUCUUUGUCAACAAUUGAACGAACCCACUCCUAAAAUGCCAUUGAAAAUGUAAAUAAAUAAAUAAAAAUUAAAAAUGAGAAUUCAUAAUAAAAUUUCAUCGUGUUGAAACUUGUAAUUUAGAAGUAUUACGAUAAGCCAGUUUUGAUCCUCGCGAAUGAAAGACUAAUUAGCAGAAAGACUGUGCAAAAUUCCUUCCACUGGAUUCUUCGAUGUCAACUGAUUUGGUAUAAAGAGGACAUAUGCCGCAUUCUUUUAUUGUGAUAACUGAUUUCAACUCUCUCACAAGUAAUUUGCGAUUUGACCGAUUUGGCCGCAGAAAGGGAUCAUCAUAAUCAUGCGAACUGAUCUCAAAAGUGAAGCUGCGAGCAUCACACAGCCUAAGGCUCAUGCCGCUUGCCCUUAGGGACUCCAAGUUAAAUUUCCACACCAAUGUGUGAUCUUUAUCAACACCUCUCUCUUCAUCAUCCCAUCUGAAAUAGUUGUUUAACACAUCAUUAUUUGGAAUUAUCCGUGUGCCAUGAUCAUCAGAUUCAAAUUUUAGGCUGUAACCAAAGGAACCAUAUCUACCUUUAACAACUUUCGUAUCUAACACUUCAAAAACCACACACAAAGCGAAACCACUGAGCCUAUCAUCGCUUAAAAAACUUAAAUCUUCAUUUAUAGUCACUGAAUGUCCCUUCCCACGAAAAUGGAACCAACCAGGAACUGCACUCCCUGGAAAACAGAAGAACACACACCUAUAUCUAUCGUCGGUCAUCCUAAGCCUUGCAUCCUCCUCAAUGUUAGCACGACCACCUGAAUCCAGUUGUUGAGCAUUGGUCAAAAGAAAUUUGAAGAAACCCUCUUUGGAAUUUGACAAGUUUGGAACAAGAGAAUUGGACAUCACUCUUCUAAUGGAUGGGCAAUCCAAUGCCACUAGUUUUUUUAGAAAUGGUGGAAUCUCUGGGAUGCAUUCAAGCUUUUUGCAGUCGCUUAAAUCAAGCGAUUUCAAGCUUGAAAGAUGAGCAACGCUCUCAGGAAGGUUCACAAUUCCGCUAUCACACAGUGACAGUUCCAUUAAUGACGUCAAGCGACCGAUAUCUCUAGGGAUUUCUGUUAAUCUGGCACACCCCGAACAAUCAAGUUUAGAGAGAAGCUUGAGAUUAACAAUGGAGUUUGGAAGUGACUCCAGAUCAGUGCAUUUGCGGAGCUCCAGGGAUCGAAGAUUAACCAAAUUGGCAAAUGAGGAAGGCAGUUCUUUAACAGCCGUACAUAUCAAGUUAAUGUGAUCAAAAGUAGGAGCCGGCUCUGUGAUCUCUGGGAAGGUCCUCAGACUUGAGCAACCACACAAAUCAAGGUUCCUCAACUUCAAAUUGAAAAUGGUGCUUGGAAAAGUUUGUAGUGAACUACAGUGGGUAAGGUCUAACUUGCAUAGUCUGGUGAGGCUUCCAAUGGAAGAUGGAAUAAUCUCAAGAUUGAAGCAACUGCACAAACUCAGUUGUUGAAGCCCUACCAAACGGCACAAGGAUGAAGGUAGUGCCUGUAUGGCUGUGUCGUCUAAGAUGAGCACCACUAGAUCUUCCAACGUGUCCUGAAUCUGGGGUAAAUUUUCCAAUUUUGAGCAACCACGGAGUGAAAGUUGCUUUAGGAACUUCAUAUCAGAAAGGUCAAAUGGAAAGAUUGUAAGGGAAGAACAGUGAGAGAGAUCUAAGUGACAGAGCCUCUUGAGAUUUUGAAAGUUUGAGGGUACACCUUCGAGUAUUGUCGACACUUCACAUUGUGAGUAUAUAGUAUUAUUACCCACUUCUUCUUCGUUAUAUCUGUCAAAACUAAUUGAGGAAAUUUCACUGGAAGUUGGGAAAAUACCUUUAGCAUUAUGGAAUUUAACAGUCCCUCCCAAAAGUAAACUUGAGAAAGUUGGACGUUGACCCUCCAGUUUCACAUGAAGGUAUCUGGGUUGACUGGUUGAAAACAUUUCAAGCUCCUCACAGUGAGAAAGAAUGAUCAAUCCUGGAGAUGUGGAUAAAAUCUUGUUGGGAAUAUUUACACUUUUGAGAUGAUAACAAUGAUCUAAACAUAAACAACUGAGCUUGCUGAGGAAUAUCGAAGAGUGAACUUUAAUCAACUUUUGACAAUAACUCAGAAUUAGUUCUUCAAUAUUCGGUGACAGAGAAAGGUCUGGUAUUCUAGUAAGUUUCAGAGAAUGACUCAGGUUGAGCCUUUUCAAGUUGGGUAAAUUCUGCCACAAAAAGUAAAUGAAUCAGGUAACAAUGAAAAACUAAAAUAAAGUUUUAUGCAAUUUUAUCUAUUUUUCUUCGGUAAACUAUGAGCUACAUCAUCUAUCGAGUUUAUAUUUUACAUAAAACCACUGUUAAAAAAAUCACACUGUUAACUAACAAAAUUAUGGUCACUAUAAAUUUUAUAGUUAUUAUAAAAAUUCACAAAAUUUAACGUGUUUUUGUUCUCUACCUAAAAUUACAUCCUAAUAAUUUGAACCUAAGCUUAUUAUGUAUUGAAAAACUUACUAUAGUAAUUUAUAAUCCAUGACAAUGUCGAAAUACUUUAUACUAUGCAUGUUAAAAUUUGAUAAAAUGUCGAAAUACUGACAAAAUAAAAAUGGUGUUUUCCGAGAGUUAAAAUUAAACUUUAGUUAAAAUAAGUCCAUCUUUACAUAUUUUAUAAUUUGUUGUAUAUUAUAUUGAAGUUGAUGUUAUAAUAAAAAAAUGACUUAAUUAAUCGAAAAAUGUGGAGAAAACACAAAGAAAUUGCAAAUGCUUGUAUAAUUUAUUUUUAUCUUUGAAAGUUUAAAAGACAAAGGAACAUAGAUAACUUGAAAAACCUGAUCUCCUUCCCAGAGUUGUUCAAGACGGCAGCCUGGCAUUUCGAGGAUCACUAGAUUUUGUGGGCAAAAGUUUGGAGGCCAAAAUCUUUGCGGGAAAUCUCUCCAAUAAAGAAACUUUAGAGUGUCUGGCAGACCUACGAGAGAUGAUUCAAGAGACACAUUUGAUAUGUAUUCAGUUGAGUAGAGUAAAAACGUCCAAAGAUCAUCCAACUCUUUACGAGACACAUCUGAUAUGUAUUUAGUUUUAUUUUGCUCGUAUCUAGUAAUAUACACUGUAUUGCAUCUGACCCCUGAAAGUAAAUCAAUGUAAUUAGAAGAAAAAAACAUGAAAUGUUGCAUUGCAGGAUGUUUGAUGACAGCUCAGUGGUUUGCAAUUUUUCACAAAGUAAAUUAAUGACAGGUCAGUAGUUAUAUACCUUAUUCUUUCUUAAAACCUCACAAAUUUCCUCAGCAUUAAACAAUCGGCUGCGUUUUCCAGGAUGCUGAGGACACUCUUUACGAACAAUUUCUUUACCCAUUUCUUCUAUUAGAUCGUGCAUCACAAUUCUACCAUCAAUGACAGAUAUUAGGCCCCUAUCUUUCAGAAUAUCCAUUCCAAUCUUAGAAGAGAAACCAAAGUCAUCAAGUCUUUCUGCUACCUCAAUCUCCUCGUGACCUCUAUAAAAGCAAGCUAUGUCAAGAAAUAUAUUCUUCUCCUCCUCCUCCAGCCCAUCAUAACUUAAUUUUAAUACAUUGAAAAUACCAAGAUGUUGGCCCUUUUUCAACUUUUGCAACUCACUCUCCCAUGCUUCUCUUGUUCUGCCAUAAAGCAAUGACCCCAAAAUCUGGAGAGCUAACGGAAUCCCUUUUGCAUAUCUCAACACCUUUUCUGACAGGUCCAUGUAAGAUUUUUCUGCUGAAGAUUUUUGUUUAAAAGCAUGUAAACUAAAAAGUUUAUGAGAAUCAUCAAAAUUCAACUCCUUAACCUCGUAGAUAUCAUCAGCUCCAGCAUUUCUAAGCACUUGUCUGUCUCUACUGGUCAUAAUGAUUCUACUGCCCUGCCCAAAACUACCACUCCCUCCUAUUAAUUUUUUAAGUAUAGCUGAAUCGGUAACAUCAUCAAGAAUGAGGAUAGCCUUUGUCCGUUUGAGCCUUUCAUUGUAAUAUGAUAAAUCAGGGGAUUUCUUUAUCUCUUCCUUUAGAAGCACAGACAGAUAUUUUCUUCUGAUACUGUCUAUUCCAUCUCUUUGUAUUUUUUCUUGAACGUCUAAAACAAGGCUGCUGGAAUCAAACUGCACUGCCAAUUUCUGAUAUAUUUGAUUACAAAUUGUAGUUUUUCCUAUUCCUCCCAUGCCACAAAUUCCUAUGAUCCGAACAUCCGUUGACUCAAGAUGCAACAAGGACUGAAUUCCUUCAAUAUUUUUUUCAAUGCCGAUGAUUCCUUGAUCAUAACUGGUGGAAUAACGAUUCAAUUUUCUCAAAAUAUCUUCCACAAUUUCUUCAACAAGUGCGUGUUCUGGCCUGGCAGAUGAUUUAGAAAAUAAAGUAUAAGUAUUCAAGCACAAAAGCUAAAGUAAACUAAAGAAAAAUUUUACAGUAACCGUUUGUGACUUCUGAUACUAGGGAGCAGACUUGUAGGUACAAAGUUAAACUAUAAGAUCAGAUAUGGUUCAGAUCCAUGACCGACUAAGAGAAAUGAAAAAAGAAACACUUGAUUUAUGGUGAGAUGAACACAAUUUUAGUAAAUGAAAAGAGAUCCUGAUUAUCUAACAAAUAUAAUGACCUGGUGACUUUUGAAUCCCAGCCUGCAAGUUUAGCAGCUUCAGUUAGAGCAUCCUUCCAUCCUUGCACUUUAUCGUGCUUAAGGUGCUGCUCAUGCUUUUCGAAUGCUUCAUUGUAUCUUUGUUCCUGCUUCCUAAUAGUUGAUGGAUCCACCUUGUAGAAAACAGGUAUGACAUCCCUUCCAAAUCUCUUCUUGCAUUCAAGUAUCUUAGUGAGUUCAUUCAAGCACCAAGUGGAAGAUGCAUAGUCUUGGGAGAAAACGAUGACAUAAAUCUUUGAUUCUUCUAUUGCAGAGAGGAGAGCAGGUGAAAUUUCUUCGCCCCUGUUUAAUCUGUAAUCAAUAUACGCUUCAAUGUUCUUCCUCUGCAGCGCUGCAUAAAGGUGACUAAUGAAGUUGUCACGUGUGUCUUCCCCUCUGAAGCUGAGAAACACAUCAUGCUUUGUUAGAGAAGUAGACACGGGGAAUGAUGAAGAACUUCCUGACAUUGGAAUCAAUUUUCUCUCCUUUCUCUGCAAAUCUCAGAUUCCUUUGUUUGUACCAUUUCUACCUGAAGAAGUGUUUAAAUUUUCUCAAAAUACCUUGCACAGCGUGUUCUGGUCAGACAUAAAGAAAAAGACAAAUAUUAAGUUAAUAGAAUAGUCAACAAUUUAAAAAAUAAGUAUGAAAUAUAGAUAUAUAUCAUUAUCACGUGUGGAAGCUACGUCGUCUUGUAUUGGAUUUUCUAAUCUGCCUUUUAUCUUGUCUCAUUCUUCUUUAUCUUUUUUCUCUCAUCUCUCUUGCUUACGAUUUCUUUGCCUUUAUUCAGAAAUUUUAUUUAUAAUAAACCUUCAAUAAUAUUUGUACUUUCUAGCAUAUAGAAUACUUAAUGGAUCCUUUUCUGAUUUUUCUUUUCUAAAGUGCAAUUGAUAUUUUAAAUGUUUUUCUAUUUAAUUUUCCUUUCUUAAUGACACAUAAAAUGGUUCAGUGCACAAUUAAUUACUCUCACCUUAGAUUUCAUUCAUCUCAUUCCAUUUCCACACUCAAAUCAUUCUCACAUUUGUUUCUACCUGUUUCACAAAGUUUUAGUUAAAAUAUGGAAAUUAAUGUUCAAGAACCCUACUUAAUAUUAAUAUUCAACAAUUUAAAAUAUUAAAAUGCAAAUUAAUCUUUCUUAAUAAUGUCAUUUUUAUGUAAAAAAUAAAAUGUAGUUUAGUCAUUUAUACUUAGAUGGAUAAAGAUGGUUUUAGAAAAAAAAAUGCAUUUUAUUUCAAAGGUUAUCUAAGCUCUGAACUCAUUUAUGAAUUAAUAAUAAUAAAUAAUAUGUAAUUGUAUUCCAAUACCAUAUAAUUUUUUUUAUUGGGUGCGUUUCUGAUGAAUUAAUUAAUGCACUCUAGGGACAAUGAUCGCUCUAGUAUUUGAUUUUUUUAUUUAUUUUAAUGUUGAAAUUAUAGCUAUUUAGUACAGAUACUAUUGACACCGACACAGAUACGACACAGACACAGAGAUACUUAAAAUCUCUAAAAUGUAAGAUACAGAGACAUUAAUCUAUAUAUUAUAUAAUUAUGAAUUAUAUAAAUUAACAAUAAAGACUUAUGUGCACAAGUAUUUUGGAGAUUAUUUUUUAAGCAGAAAUAUGUUUUUCAUGACUGUUUCACAAAGAUUUGUUUCUUAUUUUUAUAAUCAUAAUAACAAUUUAUACCAUAAAGUUUGAAUUUUAGAAAAUUAAUGUAUUUUUUCUUUUUAAAAUUCCGUUAGAAUCGUACUAAAAUUGUAAAAAAUCUAACAAAUACAUUUUGAAUUGGACAUUUCACAAAUACAUGUCCUACCAGUAUCAUACGAAUGUAAACAAAAUUCUUUCUUCAUAUGCCGCAUUCUUUUACUGUGAUAACUCAUUUCAACUCUCUCACAACUGAUUCGUAAUCUGUGGGAUGCAUUAAAGCCUUUUGCAGUUAAAUCAAUAGUAUAUGAUGAUGUGAAUGUUAUUUAUAUACUAAAUAUAAUCACAUAGUAACUUCAAAUUUGAUAAGGUACAACAUGUUACCAUAUCUCUUUUAAUUUCUUUUAUUUCAUUAUAUAUUUAGGUGUAUUUAAUUUCUUUUUAUUUCAUUGUGUAUUUAGGUGUAUUACGUAAAAUAUAUAAUUAAAAAGAAAGAAGAAUAAUGUUAUUUUUAAAUUUAAAGAAUGACAUAUAGAAAUAAACAAGCUAUUUUGAAAUUUUUAGAUUUUACAAAACAUUACAUUUUGAUUUUAAUAUUUAUAAAAUAUUUUUUAAUUUCAUAUUUAAAACACAACACUUAGUUGAGUGUGUUCCUUAGUUACUUACCAAAUAACAACAUACAUCUUAUCGGGUCUUUUUGCGACCCGACCCAAACUCAUCUCGAUCCUAGUAGGGUUCGCAUCAUCUUCAAUUGAGGAGUAGAUUUGUCAGGAGGAAAAUAAAUUGAUUUAUAAGAACAUGUGAAGUUGUUUAGAUUGAGGAAUAAUAGAUGGAUUUUGAUUAUGAUUUAUGGUAAGUUUAAAAAAAAUAGAUUUGUUUCUUUUAACAUUUUUUGUAUUAUAAUUAUUUGCUGGCUGAAUUGUUUUGAGUUAACAUGUUUUCUUGGGGUAUGAUAUUGUGAGGUUUUAUUACAUGCAGGUACGUGAAUAUUUUUUUUAUUCUAGUUGUAUAAAUCAGGAAAAAAUGUUUUUCACAAUAUAAUUAUAAUAACCGUUUAACAACCUAAAUAAUAAUAAAAUAUUAACUCAUAUUAUUUAAUUAAAUUAUUAAAUAAAAAGUAGUAAAACUGAUUGUAGGAUGGGAAUAUGAUUAUUUUUAACUGCUAGCUCCUCAUUAUUCUUUUAUAAUAAAAAACACACUAGUAGGUGUUGAAAAUCGUAAUAUAACAAACAAGUUUUGACACACGUAGGUUUGGCAAUUGUUUUAAUAGCUGAAAAUAGUAAAACAAUUUUUAAUUACCACAAACUGCAUCUUAAAUCAUAAAAAAUAGCAUUUUUUAGUUCAUAUAUAAUAACAUUUCCAUAAAUAAAUCUCCCGCCGCCAUUGAUAUUAAUCAUUAAUAAUUUUAGAUAAUAUUUUUUACUAUAAAACAUUUAAUUGAGAUUGAAUUUUUAAUUCACACUUUUUGGUCAAAGAAUAAUAUAUUUCAUUUUUUUAUUUAUUAAAUAUUUUGUAUAAUGCUGAGAAAAAAAAAUCUCACACACACACACACAUAUAUAUAUAUAUGAUCCCUAUGUCCUACAAGUACAAUAUAACAUCGUUAGUAUAAUGAAUAAAAAUAAUGAGUAUUCAAAGUCGUGUAUUUACGUAAAAGAAUAACAUGAUUUUUAAAAGAACUCACAUUAUCAGUUUAAAUUUUGACGAUAAAAUACAUUAAUUAUAUAUAUUUAUUCAAAAUUUCAAUUAUAUUAUGCAUUAAUGGUUUUAUGCUUUUAGAGGAAUCAGAGAAACUUAGAAAAGCUUAAUGAAACCCUAUGAAUAAAGGAGAUGUAAAAGAAAGAGAAAAAGGAAGUGAGAAAAGAUGAUAAUUAAUAAACACCCACUCUUCAUAACAUAGAGUCUUUAAACCUAUAUUCCCUCAAACAGCAUUUAUAAGUUAUUAUCACCCACAUGGAAUAAGGUGCCUCAAUGUGAACAAACCAAGAUCAGUAAGAAAUAUGAGGUUCAAAUAACGAAGCUGAGAAUUUUCUGGUUUUACAGCUCCAUGCACAAACCUAAUACAAUGAUAUGAUAUUCCAUAGGAUGGAGAAAAGUAUGAUAUGAAGAGGAUUUACCAAUUACCCUUUCGAAUGCAGCUCCUCAGGAUUCCAUCAUGCCUUCACUGCACAUGCAACCCAAAUAUGCUAAAGAAGUUAAUCAAACCCAAAUAUAAAGAAUUUCUAGAGAAUGCAACUCUGGGACAACAGAGUACCCCAUCUCAAGCUGAACAGAAACAUUAAACUAUAUCUAACAAUAACUUAGAAAUCUUUGUCAACAAUGAACGAAUCCAACCGUAAAAUGCCAUUGAAAAUGUAAAUAAAACAAAAUAAAUUAGAUAUGAGAAAUUCAUGAUAAAAUUUCAACACUUGUAAUGUAGAAGCAUUACGAUAAGCCAGUUUUGAUCCUCACCAAUGAAAGUCUAAUUAGCAGAAGAGGAAGAGACUAGUUGACUGGGUAGCUUUCUGCAAUGCCUAUUUUAAGGUUACGCUUCCGGCAAAAAUAUAAUAGAAGACUGCUCUCAUGUCAAAGUUUCUCAUACAUAGAACAACCCGCAAAAGAGAUUAAACAUUCCAAAAGAUGUCUCAACAGAAAUGAAAUGAGAUCCUAACAACUUGUUGGGAAAGUACUAUUUUGCCUUCAAUUCCAUUACUUCCUUUUGCCUUUAAGAGUGCAGUCAUAAUCAUCAAAAUACUUAGACUUUGUGAUAUGUCUUUUGGGCUUGCUAUUCAUCUUUUGUUGCCUCCUCUUGAGCCAUAACACUUUUGGCCUUCCUCUUCCUAUAUUCCCUUGUGUCUCUUGAAGACUGUGCAACAUUACUUCGACUGGAUUAUUCAAUGUGAACAGCACCACCAUAUUCAUCAUCUUUCUUUUUGGAAUAAAGAGGGCAUAUGCCGCAUUCUUUUACUCUGAUAUCGGGCCACCAAUGGCUGAUCUCAAAAGUGAAGCUGCGAGCAUCACAGAGCCUAAGGCUCAUGCCGCUUGCCCUUAGGGACUCCAAGUUAAAUUUCCACACAAAUGUGUGAUCUUUAUCAAGAAAUCUGCCUGCAUCCGUCAAGUUUAACACAUCAUUAUUUGGAAUGAUCUGUGUGCCAUCAUCAUCAGAUUCAAAUUUUAGGCUGUAACCAAAAGAACUAUAUCUACCUUUAAUAUCAUUCGUAUCUAACACUUCAAAAACCACGCACAAAGAGAAACCAGUGAGCCUAUUAUCGCUGCAAAAACUUAAAUCUUCAUUUAUAGUCACUGAAUGUCCCUUCCCACGAAAAUGGAACCAACCAGGAACUGCACUCCCUGGAUAACAGAAGAACACAGACCUAUAUGCAUCGUCGGUCAUCCUAAGCCUUGCAUCCUUCUCAAUGUUAGCACGACCACCUGAAUCCAGUUGUUGAGCAUUGGUGAAAUGAAAUUUGAAUACACCCUCUUUGGAAUUUGAGAGGUUCCGAACAAGAGAAUUUGACAUCACUUUUCUAAUGGAUGGGCAAUCCAAUGCCACGAGUUGUUUUAGAAAUGGUGGAAUCGGUGGGAUGCAUUCAAGCUUUUUGCAGUCGCUUAAAUCAAGCGAUUUCAAGCUCGAAAGAUGAGCAAUGCUCUCAGGAAGGUUCACGAUUCCGCUAUCACGCAGUGACAGUUCCAUUAAUGACGUCAAACGACCAAUGUGCCUUGGGAUUUCUGUUAAUUUGGCACACCCCGAACAAUCAAGUUUAGAGAGAAGCUUCAGAUUAACAAUGCAGUUUGGAAGUGACUCGAGAUCAGUGCAUUUGCGGAGCUCCAGGGAACGAAGAUUAACGAAAUUGGCAAAUGAGGAAGGCAGUUCUUUAACAGUCGUAGAUGUUAAGUUAAUGUGAGCAAAAGUAUGAGCCGACUCCGUGAUCUCUGGGAAGGUCCUCAGCCUUGAGCAACCACGCAAAUCAAGGUUCCUCAACUUCAAAUUGAAAAUGGUGCUUGGAAAAGUUUGAAGUGAAUUACAGUGGGCAAGGUCUAACUUGCAUAGUCUGGUGAGGCUUCCAAUGGAAGAUGGAAUAAUCUCAAGAUUGAAGCAACUGUGCAAACUCAGUUGUUGAAGCCCUACCAAACGGCACAAGGAUGAAGGUAGUGCCUGUAUGGCUGUGUCGUCUAAGAUGAGCACCGCUAGAUCUUCCAACGUGUCCUGAAUCUCGGGUAAAUUUUCCAGUUUUGAGCAACCACUGAGACAAAGUUGCUUUAGGAAUUUCAUAUCAGAAAGGUCAAACGGAAAGAUUGUAAGGGAAGAACAGUCAGAGAGAUCUAAGUAACAGAGGUUCUUGAGACUUUGAAAGUUUAAGGGCACACCUUCCAAGAGACUGUUGAACACCUCUGAGUCUUCUGAGUCUGUAGCAUUAUUAGCCACUUCUAUAUUAUAUCUGUCAAAAGUAAUUGACAAAAUUUCACUGCUUGGGGAAAUUUCACUGGAAGUUGGGAAAUUUAUCUCUUUCGUCAUAUCCAGUUCCUGACGCUCCAGUAUGACAUGAGGGAGAAAUUUAUCUUCAUGUUUACUGAUUGAAAACAUAUUAAGCUUCCGACAAUGGGAAAGAGUAAUCCAUCCUGGUGAUGUGGAUAAAAUGUUGCUCGGAAUAUUUACACUAUUCAGAUCAUCACAAUGAUCUAAACAUAAACAACUGAGUUUGCUGAGGAAUAUCGAAGAGUGAAUUUCAAUCAACUUUUUACAAUAACUCAGAAUUAUUUUUUCAAUAUUUGGUGACAUAGAAAGGUCUGGUAUUCUAGCAAGUUUCCAAGAACGUGUCAGGUCGAGCCUUUUCAAGUUGGGUAAAUUCUGCCACAAAAAGUAAAUGAAUCAGGUAACAAAUAAUAACUACUUUAUCUAUUUUUCUUCCUAUUUAAACUAUUAGCUACUACUAUUGAGUUUAUAUUUUACAUUACUUAAAAACCACUGUUAAAAAAGCCACACUGUGGACUAACAAAAUUAUAUUUUAAAAUAUUAUUAAAGAUAAAAUAUGAAGAUAGGGUAAUUAAAUUAAAUAUAAUUUUUAUUUUUCAGAAAUGAUGAAAAUUAUAAUUAAAUUAACUAAAUUAUAUAAAAUUCCAUUUUAUUUACAUAACUCCUUUUCAUAUUAAAAAACUAUAUAAGAUCUUGAAACUAUAAUUAAUAUCUUAAAAAUUUAAAUAAUAAUAAUUAUUUCUACUCAUCCUUAAUUUUUGUUGGUGAAAUCUUGAUUUUUGGGAUAAUAUCACUUAAACUUAAGAAAUAUUUGACAUUAAUGAACUCUAAACAAAUUUAUAUAAGAAAUCAAGACAUCACUUUCAAUCCGAAAUCUUAAACUAAUAGGUUUAUGGAUUUUCUUUAUAUGUUGUUCAUCUUACCAAUUUGAACCCAAUGCGAGACUUUCAACUCUAAGAGAUGAAGUGGUGUACUUUAUGCUUCUAGGACUUGUUAGAUAUUGAAACAUGUACCAUUGCUAAAAUGUUUGAAUGAAGGAGAAGUCAAAGUCUCUCUCCUUUAGAGAUAUUCGCUCAAGUGGCAAGAGGUUGAUUAAGCAAGAGAGAGAUCGUAUUAAUUCUCUCUUCUAUGCAAUUGUUGUCGUUCAAACAAUGUGGAAUCAUUCAAGCAAAGAAAUCUUCUUUUGGGUUAGGAAACAAGGUUUUUCAAGCGAGAUAAACUCGUCUAAAGAAUUUAACUCUAGUAGUGAAAUGUUGUUGCCAUGAUUUAGCCAAGUGUUUGUAUCUAUGAGGCUAAUGAUGAUGAUGACGAUGAUAAGAUGCAUGAAUGUGUAUACACAAGUGUAUGAUAUACCUCAUGUUAUAUAUUGUAUGUGAUUCAAUUGAUGACCAUUUAUUUUUAGGCCAUUUAUAUGUAUAUUUUGGCCCUUUUAUGAGUAUGUGACGAGAUAUACCUAAGAUUGUAUUAUGAUCCUAAUGAGUCGAAGUAUCAAACACAAAACUCAUUAUGGAAAAAAAAAGAUAUUUUGUGCAUCAGUUAUGAUAUGAUCACAACAAUUAAAGCAUGUGUGAACGGUUAAUAUUGUUCUUAAUAAGAAAACAAAUAAUAUUGUAUGUGACAUUAGAGAUGUCAAAUAGGUUUAGAAAAUUAUUAAGUUUAAUUAUCUUUUUAGUCUUUAUAUUAAUGACCAAAAGUCAAUUCAGAUUUUUAGAAAGUUCAAUAUGAUUUAAUUUUUUAAAAAACAAUUCAAUGUGAUUCCUUCUAGUAUAUUUCCCUUAUUAAAAUAUUUUUAUCUUAAUGAUUCUGCCACUGUUAAGUUAUAUGUGUUGUUAUCACAUUGAAUUGUUUUAAAAAAAUUUGGAACCACCACAUUAAAUUGUUUUAAAAAGUUAGUACUAAAUUGAACUUUUGAAAAUUGGGAGAAUGAAAUUAAAUUUUGUCUAUUAAUACAGGGACAAAAAAUAAUUGAAUCAAAUAUUUUACUAUUUUUGUGAUGUAUAUUUAUAUAUAAAUAAUUUUGAGAAUUUAGAGUUACAAUGUGUUAUAUCAUAUAUAUAUAAUUCUUUUUGGUAAUGUAUCCUGUAGUUGUAAGCAAGUAUGAUUAUAUUAAGUGGGGCGUUUCAAAUAGUGGAGACUACGCAUAUACAAAUAUCUCUUAUAAAGUAAGAAAACAAAACAAUCGUUACUCAAGAAGAUCAUGCAAUGCAUCACAGACAACAUGGGAGAUAUAUAUCAACAAUAAUAUGAGUAAAUAAUACAUUCAUGGGCCAUUAGACGAUAUGCCUAAAAAAAAUAUGCAAACUAUUAAAUUUAUAAUUAUUUUUAAUUAGAAACAUGCUGAGUAUGACUCUUAUGAUAUAUGUAUAACUGUGUGCUUCAAAUAAAAGAAAUUUCAAAUCGAAUAAUGUGGAGAAGGCACAAAGGAAUUGCAAAUGAAAACCUGUAGAUGUAUAAUACACAAAACAUGCUUGUCUAAUUUAUUUUUAUCUUUGAAAGUUUAGAACACAAAGGAACAUAGAUAACUUGAAAAACCUGAUCUCCUUCCCAGAGUUGUUCAAGAUCGCAGUAUGGCAUUUCGAGGAUCACUAGAUUUUGUGGGCAAAAGUUUGGAGGCCAGAAUCUUUGAAGGAAACCGUUCCAAUAAAGAAACUUUAGAGUGUCCGGCAGACCUACAAGAGAUGAUUCAAGAGACACUUUUGAAUUCAAUCUAGGCAUGUAGACCAUAAGCAUCAUAAGAUUGUCCAUCUUUUCGAAACUUUGUGCAUGUACUACAGCAUCUUUUACUUUGUUCGUAUGAUAUUGAUAUACACUGUAUUGCAUCUGACCCCUGAAAGUAAAUCAAUGUAAUUAGAAAAAAAAACAUGAAAUGUUGCAUUUCAGGAUGCUUAAUGACAGCUCAGUAGUUUUCUAUUUUUCACAAAGUAACAACAGCAUAUACCUUGUUCUUUCUUAAAACCUCACAAAUUUCCUCAUCAUUAAACAAUCGGCUGCGUUUUCCAGGAUGCUGAGGACACUCUUUACGAACAAUUUCUUUACCCAUUUCUUGUAUUAGAUCGUGCAUCACAAUUCUACCAUCAAAGACAGAGAUUAGACCCCUAUCUUUGAGAAUAUCCAUUCCAAUCUUAGAAGAGAAACCACAGUCAUCAAGUGUUUCUGCUACCACAGUCUCCUCUUGCCCUCUAUAAAAGCAAGCUAUGUCAAGAAAUAUAUUCUUCUCCUCCUCCUUGAGCCCAUAAUAACUUAAUUUUAAUACGUCGAAAGUUCCAAGAUCUUGGCCGUUUUCCAACUUUUGCAACUGACUCUCCCAUGCUUCUCUUGUUCUGCCAUAAAGCAAUGACCCCAAAAUCUGGAGAGCUAACGGAAUUCCUUUUGCAUAUCUCAACACCUUUACUGACAGGUCCAUGUAAGCAAUUCCUUCUGAAGAUUUUUGUUUAAAAGCAUGUAAACUAAAAAGUUUCAGAGAAUCAUAAAAAUUCAACUCCUUAACUUCGUAGAUAUCAUCAGCUCCAGCAUUCUUAAGCACUUGUCUGUCUCUACUGGUCAUAAUGAUUCUACUGCCCUGCCCAAAACUAUCACUCCCACCUAUUAAUUUUUGAAGUUGAGUUGAAUCGGUAACAUCAUCAAGAAUGAGGAGAACCUUUGUCCGUUUGAGCCUUUCAUUGUAAUAUGGUAAAUAAGAGGAUUUCUCUUCCUUUAGAAGCUCAGACUGAUAUUUUGUUCUGAUACCGUCUAUUCCAUCUCUUUGUAUUUUUUCUUGAACGUCUAAAACAAGGCUGCUGGAAUCAAACUGCAAUGCCAAUUUCUGAUAUAUUUGAUCACAAAUUGUAGUUUUUCCUAUUCCUCCCAUGCCACAAAUUCCUAUGAUCCGAACAUCCGUUGACUCAAGAUGCAACAAGGACUGAAUUCCUUCAAUAUUUUUUUCAAUGCCGAUGAUUCCUUGAUCAUAACUGGCGGAAUAACGAUUCAAUUUUCUCAAAAUAUCUUCCACAAUUUCUUCAACAAGUGCGUGUUCUGGCCUGGCAGAUGAUUUAGAAAAUAAAGUAUAAGUAUUCAAGCACAAAAGCUAAAGUAAACUAAAGAAAAAUUUUACAGUAACCGUUUGUGACUUCUGAUACUAGGGAGCAUACUUGUAGGUACAAAGUUAAGCUAUUGUGUGAUAUGGUUCAGAUCUAUGACCGACUAAUAGAAAUGAAAAAAGAAGCACUUGAUUUAUGGUGAGAUGAACACAAUUUUAGUAAAUGAAAAGAGAUCCUGAUUAUCUAAUAAAUAUAAUGACCUGGUGACUUUUGAAUCCCAGCCUGCAAGUCCAGCAGCUUCGGUGAGAGCAUCCUUCCAUCCUUGCACUGUGUCGUGCUUAAAGUGCUGCUCAUGCUCAUUGAAUGCUUCUUUGUAUCUUUCUUCCUGCUUCCUAAUAGUUGAUGGAUCCACCUUGUAGAAAACAGGUAUCACAUCCCUUCCAUAUCUCUUCUUGCAAUCAAGUAUCUUAGUGAGUUCAUCCAAGCACCAUGUGGAAGAUGCAUAGUUUUUGGAGAAAACGAUGACAUAAAUCUUUGAUUCUUCUAUUGCAGAGAGGAGUACAGGUGAAAUUUCUUGGCCCCUGAGUAAUCUGUAAUCAAUAUAUGCUUGAAUGUUCUUCCUUUGCAGCGCUGCAUAAAGGUGACUAAUGAAGUUGUCACGUGUGUCUUCCCCUCUGAAGCUGAGAAACACAUCAUGCUUUGUUAAAGAAGCAGACAUGGCCAAUGAUGAAGGGUUUCAAUGUUCUCUGCAACUCUCAGAUCCCUUUGUUUGUAAGCAACUUCCAUAUAUUCUAUUAGGAAGGAAAAUAUAUAUUUCUACCAUUCCUACCACAAAUUGAAAAAGCCUUUCAAUUUUCUCAAAAUAUCUUUCACAGCUGUGUUCUGUCAGAUACGAAACAUUGAGUCAAUGGAAGAGUCAACAAUUGGCAGAAUAUUAUGGUGUGUAGCUUUAUACCAUUCUUACAAUAUUUGAUUGGUUGAAUAUAUACAAUAUGACUAAUGAACUUUUUUCUUUUCCGUAUUCCACGAUAAUUCCCUAGGCACCCUAUUAUACACUUUCUUAUCAACGGAAACCAUGUCUGUCCUUUUAUAGUUUUAAUCCUAUAAUAUCUUUCCAUUAAUCAUCAUUAUCACUCUUCAACCUUCAUAUCAAGUGUAUUGAUUUCAUACUUCAUCAGCUAGACAUAAUAAAAUCUCAAUAAUCUUUUAUACUGUCAACAUUUAUAAAAAAUAUUUCCUUCAAUAAUAUUUGUACUUUCUAGCAUAUAGAAUACUUAAUGGAUUCUUCUGUGAUUUUUCUUUCCUAAAGUACAAUUGAUAUUUUAACAGAUGCCGAAAGGUCUUGAAUAUGAGGCUGUUUCGAAAUGAAAAUUGGGGUAAAGCAUUUUCAAGUUAACAAGUUUUGUUGGGUGAGUGAGUGAUCAGUGCUAGCAUUUUCAAUCUCAGUUAUAGAAUGUAAAGAUUUACACAUUUAUUUGCUGAUUAAUAAUUUAUUUAUUGAAUUAAAUGUUUUAACAGUGAGUAUGGAUUCUUGAAUGAAUGUAAUCAUGGUGUAGAAUGUACAUAGUACAUAUAGUGAGUUGGAUUGAAAUGUUGAACACGUUUUCCUCUGCAAAGAUUCAGGAUAUUUAUGAACUUGCUAUAAAUUGUUUUAACUUUUCUCUGCAACUCUCAGUCCCUUUGUUUCUACCAUUUUGUUUUUGAAAAGCCUUUCAAUUUUCUCAAAAUAUCUUUCACUGCUGUGUUCUGUCAGAUACGAAACAUUGAGUCAAUGGAAGAGUCAACAAUUCGUAGAAUAUUAUAUUAUGGUGUCAAUAUUUAAUAAAUUUAUUUAUUUCUUUAACAUAUUUUAGAAAAUAACCAGUAAACAUAAAACUUUUAGUAUGACUAAAAGAAUAAAGAUAGUGUAAGAAUAACAGGAAUAACAUUACUACAAAUAACAAUAUAUUAAUAUUAAUAUGUUUCUUAAUAAAUUUUACACCCACUGUCUAUUUAUAAAUUAAUAUAUUAUAAACAUCUAUUGAUUUUUUGUGGGUAGCUUAUUUCUGUAACAUUUUAAAUUAAUUUUUUAGAUUUUACAAAACAUUACAUUUUGAUUAUAAUAUUUAGGACUGUGAUGCAAUUUCUGCAAUGAAGGCUGGCAGACUAAGUUUCUCCAAGCCCAAUUAAUACUGGGUUGAAAAUUCUGAGAAGAGGGUGAGUAUGAUGCUGCGGUCAUGAUCUAUGUAUUAAAGUGUUAAGGCAUGGGUUUGGUUGACAGGACAAUACUGGUUUUUCAUUGCUACUACUUAAUAUGAUUCUUUCUUACUGCUAUAUGAAUUUGCUGUCAAAUAGCAGUAAAUAAAAGACUUCAAAUAAAGCAUGUGUUUAUCAUACAUGGACUAAUGCAGCAGUUUUAGUAGAAGGGGCUAAUAUGAUUUUAAUCUAGAACAAGAUGGCUAAACCCAAAGAUGGUGGGAAUAAUAUCCUCAAAUCAAUUGUUUUGGUUUUCAGUGUAAUGUCAUUUGUAAGUAUCAAAAUUUGUUUGUUAUCACAUUGGAAGGUAGUAUCUGUCAUGAAAUUUGUGGAAGACCUUUACCUAUGUUUGCUUUGGGUCUGUUUUACGCCCUCUCGAAUUAAGUAAAUUUUUAAUUGCCAUCAUGAAAUUAGGCUAAAUAUGUGUAGUUUUGAGCACUUUCUUUCUUCCAUUUCAAUUCAUAGUUUCAUACAUAUUCAAUAUCAUGUGGGAAUUAAGUUCUUGCUUUUAAGGUGAAUAACAGUUUGUAUUCUUGCAGAAAACUAUUUUCUAAUGCAUAUAAAUUUCAUUUUCUAUUUUCAGCAUUGGAUUAUGUUAUGUAAUUUUUCCUUUGUAUUAUACAGAGUAGGAUUUUAAUGUUUCUACUGAACAGUGCUAUCUUUUUUCGUCCAUAUUCUGAUUUUGUUCAAUUUUUUUCAGUAUGUGCCACAUGCAGAUCAGAUGUAAGGAAUUUUCUAAAUUUUUUUUCAAGCUUUCUUGUUUGCUUAAAGUUUUCUGUAAGUAUUUAACUGUCUUAAGUUGUUAAUGAGGACUAAGGACUGAAAAAGAGAAUUAGCCAUGACAUGGUGGCAUUAUCCUUCUUCAAAACCAUUAGUUUUUUUUCCUACAAAGAUACAUGUCAAGAAAGCAAACCAGGAACAAAAGUGAUGUUUAUGAUUGCUUUCUCUCUUGUUUACUUGCUUUCUUUUUGUUGGACAAUUGUCUUAAUUGCAUUCACACCUAACCUGCAGUAGUUUCAGUCCCUUUGGGGUUGUCAUAAUUGCAGCCUCAAGAGUGGUGGUGUAGUCCAACAUCAACCAGUGAUAUAGUUCAAAUAUAGCAUAUACAUGAAAGUCGUGUUGAUAAUCAAAGGUUGCUUCAUCUUAACUAAUAACAUGUAAAUGUCAUUUGAAUGGUUAAAAAGGAAUUCACCAGUGUAACACAAAAUGAAUGGAUUGCUUGGUUAUGUGUCAACUGUUGUACUUUUUUUGAGUUGCUUGAAAAUAAUUAAAAUUUGUUUUCAUCUAGAUCUUGGUUUUUUCCUAUGAUCAAAUCUCGAUUUAUUUCUGUGCAGAACUUUCUUGUGGACAUAAAAGGACCAGCUAUAGCAUUUUUACCGGUGCUUGCAUUUGAAGGAGGAACUAGAAGAAAUAUACCUAGGUUUGAGGUGUGUAUAAAUUAUUUUUGAUGUAUUUCGUGAUGUAGAUGUAAAAUAAUGCAAUACUUUGUUUUUAGUUUCAAUGUUACUCUUUAUCUGCAGGUUGGAAACAUAUCUUGAUGAAAUAUAGAAACAUUUUUAUUCAUAAUAUAUAUAUAAGGAUUACACAUUCAUAAUUAUUUCUUUCUGUCGUAGCAUUGUCUACCUCAAAUCACUGCAACUUUCUGUUGUUGGUAUAAAAAUACAAUAUUUUAAUCCCAGUUUUGAUAGCCUCUAUUCUUCAGUGGUUGAGAUAUUUUUUAUAAGAAUUUAGAAGUUCUGAGAUAUUUAUGAUAAGAAUUUCAAGUUCUUUGUUACUAGCAGUUUAAUGGUUAUAUCAUUUUUGUUCUCUGGAAAAUAUCUUAUACAAAAUCGGUACUUAGAUUUGGUAUUUAUAUUGUUCAUAUGUAGAAAUCUAAUACUAGCAAAUUUUGUCUAAUUUAAAAGCAAUUACAUUCUACUCUUUGGAAUAUGUUCUGGCCUGCUUUUAUGAAUUAUUUGAAAAUUUGUAAUUAUAAAAUUUAGUCUUUGAAAUUAUAAAUUUAAUAGAGAAGCAUCCAUACUAAACUUUUAUAUUAUAAAUUGUCAGUUUUAUAUUGAAAACAUAUCCCCUUUAGUAUAAGACUUAAAGGAGAUGUCUUUUGGUAUAAAAACUGAAAUAAAAAAUAUUUUAACUAUAUGGGUCAAAUGGAUGAUUAAACUUAUAAAAUGUACAAUUAAACUUAUAAAUUAUAAUAAACGAUACUUUAAUUUUAAACUAUAUUGAACUUUUAUUAAUGUUCUCGCUUUUCUUUAAAAGCUAUUGAACUCUAUCUAACAAUAACUUAAAAAUGAGAAAUUCAUGAUAAAAUUUCAACACUUGUAAUCUAGAAGUAUUACGAUAAGCCAGAAGAGGAAGAGACUAGUUGACUGGGUAGCUUUCGGCGUUCCUCUUCCUAUCUUCCCCUGUUUCUCCUGAAGAGUGUGCAACAUUGCUUCCACUGAAUUCUUCAAUGUCAUUUUCUGAUGCAGAAUAGUCAACAGCACCACCAUAUUUAUCAUCUUUCUUUUUCGUAUAAAGAGGGCAUAUGCCGCAUUCUUUUAUUCUGAUACCUGAUUUCAACUCUCUCUCAACUGAUUCGUAAUCUGGCCGAUUUGGCCGCAGAAAGGGAUCAUACGGACUGAUCUCAAAAGUGAAGCUGCGAGCAUCACACAGCCUAAGGCUCAUGCCGCUCGCCAUUAGGGACUCCAAGUUAAAUUUCCACACGAAUGUCCCUUCACCAUCCCAUUUGAAAUAGCUAUUUAACACACCCUUAUAUGGAAUGAUCUGUGUGCCAUCAUCAUAUUCAAAUUUUAGGCUGUAACGAAAAGAACCAUAUCCACCUUUAAUAUCUAACACUCCAAAAGCUACACACAAAGCGAAACCAGUGAGCCUAUCAUCGCUGCAGAAACUUAAAUCUUCAUUUAUAGUCACUGAAUGUCCCUUCCCACGAAAAUUGAACCAACCAGGAACUGCACUCCCUGGAAAACAGAACAACACACACCUAUAUGUAUCGUCGAUCAUCCUAAGCCUUGCAUCCUCCUCGAUGUUAGCACGAGCACCUGAAUCCAGUUGUUGAGCAUUGGUGAAAUGAUAUUUGAAGACACCCUCUUUGGAAUUUGACAAGUUUGGAACAAGAGAAUUUGACAUCACUCUUCUAAUGGAUGGGCAAUCCAAUGCCUCGAGUUGUUCUAGAAAUGGUGGAAUCGGUGGAAUGCAUUCAAGCUUUUUGCAGUCGCUUAAAUCAAGUGAUUUCAGGCUUGAAAGAUGAGCAAUGCUCUCAGGAAGGUUCACGAUUCCGCUAUCACGCAGUGACAGUUCCAUUAAUGACGUCAAGCGACCGAUGUGUCUUGGGAUUUCUGUUAAUUUGGCACACCCCGAACAAUCAAGUUUAGAGAGAAGCUUCAUAUUAACAAUGGAGUUUGGAAGUGACUCGAGAUAAGUGCACUCUUGGAGUUCCAGGGAUCGAAGAUUAACCAAAUUGCCAAAUGAGGAAGGCAGUUCUUUAACAGCCGUACAUGUCAAGUCAAUAUGAGCAAAAGUAUGAGCCGGCUUCAUGAUCUCUGGGAAGGUCCUCAGCCUUGAGCAACCACCCAAAUCAAGCUUCCUCAAUUUCAAAUUGAAAAUGGUGCUUGGAAAAGUUUGAAGUGAAUUACAGUAGGUAAGGUGUAACUUGCAUAGUCUGGUGAGGCUUCCAAUGGAAGAUGGAAUAAUCUCAAGAUUCAAGCAACUGUGCGAACUCAGUUGUUGAAGCCCUACCAAACGGCACAAGGAUGAAAACUUAUUUUAUUUUUGCUGUUCAUGCAUAACAUUAACAAAUAUUGACAUGAGAGAUUGUGUUUGUAGGCUUCUAAGCUCACCAACGUGUCCCGUUCUUGAUGCUUUAGGGAAGAAAAUUUCCUUUGAGAUUGCAAAAGGACUCAGGAGAAUUUAGAAGUUCUGAGAUAUUUAUGAUAAGAAUUCAAGUUCUUUGUUACUAGCAGUUUAAUGGUUAUAUCAUUUUUGUUCUCUGGAAAAUAUCUGAUACAAAAUUGGUACUUAGAUUUGGUAUUUAUAUUGUUCAUAUGUAGAAAUCUAAUACUAUAGCAAAUUUUAUCUAAUUUAGAAGCAAUUAUAUUCUACUCUUUGGAAUAUGUUCUGGCCUGCUUUUAUGAUUGUAAUUAUAAAUUUAAUAGAGGAGAUUACCAAACAUCCAUACUAAUUAAACUUUUAUAUUAUAAAUUUUUUCAGUUUUAUAUUGAAAACAUAUCCCUUUAGUAUAAGACUUAAAGGAGAUGUCUUUUGGUAUAAAAACUGAAAUAAAAAAUCUUUUAACUAUAUGGGUCAAAUGGAUGAUUAAACUUAUAAAUGUACAAUUAAACUUAUAAAUUGUAAUAAACGAUACUUUAAUUUUAAACUCUAUUGAACUUUUUUUAAUGUUCUCGCUUUUCUUUUAAAUGCAUUUCACUUGUGUGUUUUGUAUUCAGGCUGAUUUUAACUUUAUUCUCAAAUAUACAAAAUAAUUUUUGGUAAUUAUCUUGUGUCGAUCUUGACUUGUAGUAUCAAUGUGAAAUAUGUAAUAAUUACUUUUCUAUGAUUCAGAGGGAAAAUUAUUCCAACUAGACUUUUACAAAUAUAUUUCAAGUGGUAAUAUGAUUUUAAAAAAAAUAGGAUUCGCCACAAAAAAAAGUUACUGUUCCUAAUUGACAUGGUGCUGUCAAAAUUAUUUAAUUACAAUUUAGAUCUUCACUCUACAUAUAAUUAAUUAAUUACCAAUUAUUUAAAAGACUAGUAAAUUAUAAUUUUAAUCUCUCUACAACUUUCUAAAUUUAGUUAUGAUUCUCUCAAAAAAAUUUCCCUUAAAUAUUAAUUAUAAUUACCUUUAGACAGAAACAUUUCUAAUUUAAACAAGCAAAAAUAAGAAAAAAAAAUAGAUUACAAAAACUAAAUUUGAAUUUUUUUAUAUAACUCCAAAUAUAUUUUAUCCAUAAAUAAAUUCUAUUAAUAUUUCAUUUCUGUUUAAAUAGUUUAUUCAUAUUUGUAAUAUUAUUUUCAAAAAACAAUAAUUGUUUUUUGAAUAAAGGUUUACAAAUUCUAUAAUAAUGUAAAUGAGAAGAGGAGUGAGGGUAAAAAUAUGAGAACCUAUGUGAGGGAAUCUUGUGACAAUUUAGCUGGUGUUCAACUUGUGAGAAGUCUUUCAACUUGGUUUUCAAGUUUUAUAUUCAAUUUCUGUUCCUUCAAAUGUUUCUGAUUUUACAGCUCCUCAGGAUUUUACAGCUCCAUGCACAAACCUAAUACAAUGAUAUGAUAUUCAAUCAGCAUUAAUUAGCAUAAACAGGUACCUUGUUGUAAAACUGGGAAUAUGAGAUUCCAUAGGAUGGAGAAAAGUAUGAAGAGGAAUUACCAAUCACCAUUUACCAAUCAUAAUGCCUUCACUACAAAUGCAACCCAAAUAUGCUAAAGAAGUUAAUGAAACUAUAUAUGAAGAGUUUCAAGAAGAUGCAACUCUGGGACAACAGAGCAACCCAUCUCAUGCUGAACACAAACAUCAAACUACAUCUAACAAUAAUUCAGAAAUCUUAAUCAACAAUUGAGCGAACCCACUCCUAAAAUGCCAUUGAGAAUGUAAAUAAAUCAAAAUACAUUAAAAACGAGAAAUUCUUAAUAAAAAUUCAACGUGUUGAACCUUGUAAUUUAGAAGUAUUAACGAGAAGCCAGUUUAGAUCCUCACCAAUGAAAGACUAUUUUACAGGUUAGCUUCCACUGGAUUCUUCAAUGUGAACAGCACCACCAUAUUUAUCAUCUUUCUUUUUGGAAUAAAGAGGGCAUAUGCCGCAUUCUUUUAUUGUCACAACUGACCACCCAAAGUCAUAAAGAGGACUGAUCUCAAAAGUGAAGCUGCGAGCAUCACACAGCCUAGGGCUUAGGGAUUCUAAGUUAAAUUUCCAGACGAAUGUGUGAUCUUUAUCAACAAAACUGUAUUCACCAUUCCAUUUGAAAUGUCUGUUUAACCUAUCAUUAUUUGGAAUGAUAUGUGUGCCAUCAUCAUCAGAUUCAAAUUUUAGGCUGUAACCAAAAGAACCAUAUCUACCUUUAACAGAAUUCGUAUCUAACACUCCAAAAACCACACACAAAGCGAAACCAGUGAGCCUAUCAUCGCUGCAGAAACUUAAAUCUUCAUUUAUAGUCACUGAAUGUCCCUUCCCACGAAAAUGGAACCAACCAGGAACUGUACUCCCUGGAAAACAGAAGAACACAGACCUAUAUCUAUCAUCGGUCAUCCUAAGCCUUGCAUCCUCCUCAAUGUUAGCACGACCACCUGAAUCCAGUUGUUGAGCAUUGGUGAAACGAAAUUUGAAGACACCCUCUUUGGAAUUUGACAAGUUUUGAACAAGAGAAUUUGGCAUCACUCUUCUAAUGGAUGGGCAAUCCAAUGCCACGAGUUGUUUUAGAAAUGGUGGAAUCUGUGGGAUGCAUUCAAGCUUUUUGCAGUCGCUUAAAUCAAGCGAUUUCAAGCUUGAAAGAUGAGCAAUGCUCUCAGGAAGGUUCACGAUUCCGCUAUCACGCAGUGACAGUUUCACUAAUGACGUCAAGCGACCGAUGUGUCUUGGGAUUUUUGUUAAUUUGGCACACCCCGAACAAUCAAGUUUAGAGAGUAGCUUCAGACUAACAAUGGAGUUUGGAAGUGACUCGAGAUCAGUGCAUUUGCGGAGCUCCAGGGAUCGAAGAUUAACGAAAUUGGCAAAUGAGGAAGGCAGUACUUUAACAGCCGUAUAUGAUAAGUCAAUGCGAGCAAAAGUAGGAGCCCGCUCCGUGAUAUCUGGGAAGGUACUCAGGCUUGAGCAACCACACAAAUCAAGCUUGCUCAAUUUCAAAUUGAAAAUGCUGCUUGGAAAAGUCUGAAGUGAAUUACAGCGGGUGAGGUGUAACUUGCAUAGUCUGGUGAGGCUUCCAAUGGAAGAUGGAAUAAUCUGAAGAUUGAAGCAACUGCGCAAACUCAGUUCUUCAAGCCCUAUCAAACGGCACAAGGAUGAAGGUAGUGCCUGUAUGGCUGUGGCGUCUAAGAUGAGCACCGCUAGAUCUUCCAACGUGUCCUGAAUCUCGGGUAAAUUUUCCAAUUUUGAGCAACCACGGAGAGAAAGUUGAUUUAUGAAUUUCAUAUCAGAAAGGUCAAUUGGAAAGAUUGUAAGAGAAGAACAGUGAGAGAGAUCUAUGUGAGAGAGCUUCUUGCCACUAAAUUGUAAGGGCACACCUUCGUAGUCUUCUGAGUAUUCUGAGUCUGUAGCAUUAUUAGCAUUUAUCUCUUUCAUCAUAUCCGGUUCCUGACGCUCCAGUAUGACAUGAGGGAGAAAUUUAUCUUCAUGUUCACCCAAUGAAAACAUAUUAAGCUUCUCACAACCGGAAACACUAAUCCAUCCUGGUGAUGUGGAUAAAAUGUUGCUGGGAAUAUUUACACUUUUGAGAUUAGAACAAUGAUCUAAACAUAAACAACUGAGCUUGGUGAGGAAUAUCGAAGAGUGAACUUCAAUCAACUUUGAACAAUAACUCAGCUUUAUUUCUUCAAUAUUCGGUGACAGAGAAAGGUCUGGUAUUCUAGUAAGUUCCCAAGAUUUAACCAGGUCGAGCCUUUUCAAGUUGGGUAAAUUCUGCCAGAAAUAGUAAAUGAAUGAGGUAACAAAUAAAAACUACUUUAUCUAUUUUUCUUCCUAUUUAAACUAUUAGCUACUAUCUAUUGAGUUUAUAUUUUACAUUACUUAAAAACCACUGUUAAAAAAACCACACUGUGGACUAACAAAACUCUGCCUAUAAAUUUUAUAGUUAUUAUAAAAAAUCACAAAAUUUAACGUCUUUUUGUUCCCUACCUAAAAUUACAUCCUAAUCAUUUGAACCUAAACUUAUUAUGUAUUCAAAAACUUAUGAUAGUAAUUUAUAAUCGAUCACAAUGUCAAAAUACUUUAUAUUAUACAUGUAUCAACUCACAAAAUAAAUGGUGUUGUCUCAGAUUUAAAAUUAAACCUUAGUUAAAAAGUCCAUCUUUCCAUAAUUUAUUUUAUUAAAUACAUAAUUUGUAAUUUAUUGUAUAUUAUAUUCAAGUUUAUGUUAUGAUAAAAAAAGUAUCUAAGGCAUUUUUAAUUAAAUAAUAUAAAAUAAACAACAUGAACUCAAUUAAAUAAUAUAAAUUUUUUUGAAUACUCGAUGGAAUAAAAAAAUUAAUAAAACCCUCAAUUUGAAAAUAACCAAAUUUAUAAGAUACUUAAAACUUAAUUAAACCUACAAAUUUUCAUUAUAUGGAAUUAAAUAUUGUAAAGAUUUACCACAUAAGUUUCAUAAGUAGAAGGUUUAAACAUAAAAUUCUUCACGUUGGGAGUUUCUUUCCUCUAUCUUAUAAGUUUUCGUUGUUUCUUUAAUAUUUUUUAUAUGGCUUCUGUCAAUGUAAUUUUUUUUUUGGUUUUAAAAUAUUAUUAAAGAUAAAAUAUGAAGACAGGGUAAUUAAAUUAAAUAUAAUUUUUAUUUUUCAGAAAUGAUGAAAAUUAUAAUUAAAUUAACUAAAUUAUAUAAAAUUCCAUUUUAUUUACAUAACUCAUUUUCAUAUUAAAAAACUAUAUAAGAUCUUCCAAAGUAGAUAUAAUACAUUCACGGGCCAUUAGAUGAUAUGCCUAAAAAAAUAUGCAAACUAUUAAAUUUAUAAUUAUCUUUAAUUAGAAACAUGCUGAGUAUGACUCAAAUAAAAGAAAUUUCAAAUCGAAUAAUGUCGAGAAGGCACAAAGGAAUUGCAAAUGAAAACUUGUAUAUGUAUAAUACAGAAAACAUGCUUGUAUAAUUUAUUUUUAUCUUUGAAAGUUUAGAACACAAAGGAACAUAGAUAGCUUGAAAAACCUGAUCUCCUUCCCAGAGUUGUUCAAGAUGGCAGAAUGGCAUUUCGAGGGUCACUAGAUUUUGUGGGCAAAAGUUUGGAGGCCAAAAUCUUUGAGGGAAAUGUGUCCAAUAAAGAAUCUUUAGAGUGUCUGGCAUAUCCACAAGAGGUGAUUCAAAAGACACUUUUAAUUCCAAUCCCCACGUGUAGAGCCUAAGCACCCUAAGAUUGUUCAUCUUUUCGAAACUUUGUGCAUGUACUACAACUUCUUUUACUUUGAAAGUAGAUAGUGAUAUACACUCUAUUGAAGUAGAUAGUGAUAUACACUCUAUUGCAUCUGACCCCUGAAAGUAAAUCAUGAAAUGUUGCAUUGCAGGAUGUUUGAUGACAGCUCAGUGGUUUGCAAUUUUUCACAAAGUAAAUCCAUUCUCAAUUGAGUAACGACAUAAUACCUUGUUCUUUCUUAAAACCUCUCAAAUUUCCUCAGCAUUAAACAAUCGGCUGCGUUUUCCAGGAUGCUGAGGACACUCUUUACGAACAAUUUCUUUACCCAUUUCUUGUAUUAGAUCGUGCAUCACAAUUCUACCAUGAAAGACAGAUAUUAGGCCCCUAUCUUUGAGAAUAUCCAUUCCAAUCUUGGAAGAGAAACCACAGUCAGCAAGUAUUUCUGCUACCACAAUCUCUUGUGACCUAUAUAAAAGCAAGCUAUGUCAAGAAAUAUAUUCUUCUCCUCCUCCUCGAGCCCAUCAUAACUUAAUUUUAAUACAUUGAAAAUACCAAGAUGUUGGCCCUUUUCCAACUUUUGCAACUGACUCUCCCAUGCUUCUCUUGUUCUUCCAUAAAGCAAUGACCCCAAAAUCUGGAGAGCUAAUGGAAUCCCUUUUGCAUAUCUCAACACCUUUUCUGACAGUUCCCUGUAAGCAAUUUCUUCUGAAGAUUUUUGUUUAAAAGCAAGUAAACUAAAAAGUUUCUGAGAAUCAUCAAAAUUCAACUCCUUAACUUCGUAGAUAUCAUCAGCUCUAGCAUUCUUAAGCACUUGUUUGUCUCUACUGGUGAUAAUGAUUCUACUGCCCUGCCCAAAACUAUCACUCCCUCUUAUUAAUUUUUGAAGUUGAGCUGAAUCGGUAACAUCAGUUAGAAGUGGAACACGUUUGUAGAAGUGGAACACGUUAGUUGGUUAGUUGCCUUAAGAAGCGGAUCAUGUAUUUUUUCUUGAACGUCUAAAACAAGGCUGCUGGAAUCAAACUGCAAUUCCAAUUUGUGAUAUAUUUGAUCACAAAUUGUAGUUUUUCCUAUUCCUCCCAUGCCACAAAUGCCUAUGAUCCGAACAUCCGGUAAGUCAAGAUGCAACAAGGACUGAAUUCCUUCAAUAUUUUUUUCAAUGCCGAUGAUUCCUUGAUCAUAACUGAUGGAAUAACGAUUCAAUUUUCUCAAAAUAUCUCCCACAAUUCCUUCAACAAGUGUGUGUUCUGACCUGGCAGAUGAUUUAGAAAAUAAAGUAUAAGUAUUCAUGCACAAAAGCUAAAACAAAACUAAAGAAAAAUUCAGAGUCAAGAAGAGUGAACAUCAUUGAAUAGAUUCACAUAUUGAUUGUAGGACGUUAUCUUCGAAUAUUAGUGUGGUUGGUUUAGAAAUUGCAAAUCAAGAUCGCAGAAAUUCUACAGUAACCGGUAGUGACUUCUGAUACUAGGAAGCAGUCUUGUAGGUACAAAGUUAAGCUAUAAGAUGUGAUAUGGUUCAGAUCUAUGACCCACUACGAAAAAUGGAAAAAAGAAACACUUGAUUUAUGGUGAGAUGAACACAAUUUUAGUAAAUGAAAAGAGAUCCUGAUUAUCUAAUAAAUAUAAUGACCUGGUGACUUUUGAAUCCCAGCCUGAAAGUCCAGCAGCUUCGGUGAGAGCAUCCUUCCAUCCUUGCACUUUGUCGUGCUUAAAGUGCUGCUCAUGCUCAUCGAAUGCUUCUUUGUAUCUUUCUUCCUGCUUCCUAAUAGUUGACGGAUCCACCUUGUAGAAAACAGGUAUGACAUCCCUUCCAUAUCUCUUCUUGCAAUCAAGUAUCUUAGUGAGUUCAUUCAAGCACCAAGUGGAAGAUGCAUAGUUUUGGGAGAAAACGACGAUAUAAAUCUUCGAUUCUUCUAUUGCAGAGAGCAGUGCAGAUGAAAUUUCUUCGCCCCGGGGUAGUGUCUCAUCAAUAUAUGCUUCUAUGUUCUUCCUUUGCAGUGCUGGAUGAAGGUGGCUAAUGAAGUUGUCACGUGUGUCUUCCCCUCUGAAGCUGAGAAACACAUCAUGCUUUGUUAGAGAAGUGGACACGGGGAAUGAUGAAGAACUUCCUGUUUAAUUUCUUCGCCCCUGUUUAAUCUGUAAUCAAUAUAUGCUUCAAUGUUCUUCCUCUGCAGCGCUGCAUAAAGGUGACUAAUGAAGUUGUCACGUGUGUCUUCCCCUCUGAAGCUGAGAAACACAUCAUGCUUGGUUAGAGAAGCAGACAUGGCCAAUGAUGAAGGGUUUCAAUUUUCUCUGCAACUCUCAGAUCCCUUUGUUUGUAAGCAACUUGCAUAUAUUCUAUUUCUAUCACAAAUCAACUUUUGGAAAAGCCUUCAAUUCAAAAUAUGCUUCACAGCUUUAUAUUAACGUGCCUAGCUUUAUACCAUUCUUACGCAUUGGUAAAGAUUCUUCAAUAUCUUUACUCAAUUUGUUUCUUCAAUACCUUUUACACAUUCUUACGCAUUGGUAAAGAUUCUUCAAUAUCUUUACUCAAUUUGUUUCUUCAAUACCUUUUACAUAUAAAGAAUCGGAUUUGUUUAAUAUAUUUUAGAAAAUAACCAGUAAACAGAAAACUAGGUUAAUAUGACUAAAUGAAUAAAGAUAGUACUCAUAAAAAAUAUUUUAGAUUACAAGUGGUAUAACUAAAAUAAAAUAUUUUAUUUUUAAAAUAAAAUUUAUAAAUAAAUAAAAAAAUAUAAUUGUUUAGUUUUCGGUGUAAAACAAUAUUCAUUUUUAUAAAAAAAAAUCUUUUCUCUUUUAUUUUAUUUUUAUAUUUCUAAUUAGAGUAUUCUUGAGUUUGACAAUAGAAUCCUUUCUUUGGACUUUUGGAAUUAAAUAAAGAUGUUAAUUGAAAAAAAAAAUUGAAAUAGAAACUAAUUUAGAAACCAAAUUUCUUUUUAGUUUCUAAAAUGGUCUCUAAUUUAGUUACUAUUGCAACUAAUUGUUUUGGUUUCUAGAAAUUGGUUUCUAUUUCAUGAUUUUCUUGUAGUGUAUACUGAAGGUGUGCACCCCUAUGAAAUGUUUUUAUUUCUAGUUGAUGUGUGAUUUCCAAUAAUUAUAUAAAUUGAUUGUUAUAUGCAGUGUGAAGUUUAACCUUGAUUUUUACUUGAAAAAAUGGAUUUUAAUAUGAGGUAUGCAUGCUCUCAUACUCAAAUUCAAUAAGCGGAAUUUUCACAUGUCAAUAGAAUUUGAACCUGCAUAGUUUUGGGCACUCUCCACCUCAAAUUCGCUCAAUGUUUUUUCCUGCGUUUAAGCGAAAUUACAUGCAGAUUUUGGAGUACUUUCGGGCUUAAAAUUGCUCAAAGAAAUUUCCCUAUGGCAAGCAAAUUUAAGCUACAAUUGUUUGGGUGUUCUUUGCCUCAAAUUCGUUGCCUCAAAUUCGUUCAGCGAAGAUUUCUCUGGGCUUAAGCCCCAACUUCAUGGGCUCGAGCCAUUUUGACAACAUUUGUCAUCUUUGCUUAGAUAUCUUUUGGUUUGUUUUCUAUAGGUCAUGAAAUUGAAUUAAAUCUUUUGAAAUUUAACAUGUGUUUAAAAUAAGUAAAUCUAACAUUUAUAAUCAUGCAACAUGUGUUUAAUUUAUAAAAAAAAUAUAAAACAAAUACUCAUUAUAUAUUCAAUUGAUAUGUAAAAUUUUAAAUAUUAUGUGAUUAUUGUUGAUAUUUUGUAACGGUUUUAAAAAUAUAAACUUCUAUAUGAUUGAAUGAUAUAUUAUCGAUACAUAGUAAUUUCAAGUAAGGAAAUACUUUGUUAAGGAUAGUUAGGAUGUGUCUUGAUUAGUAAUACAUUUAGAAUAAGAUAUUUGACUCUAUUCACAUAUUAAGGUGGUGACAGUCAAAUGAGAUUUAUAUGAUUUGAUCUACAAUAUAAAAAAUCAUAAUCUAACAUGCCAUAUGAAUUAACCUUGUCAUAUUAGGUGAUUCUAUUAUGAUAUUCUUAUUCGCAUAGAUGUGUGAAUUUCACAAUGGGGUAUUAUAACAUGUGCAAAUUUUUUAGUCUAAAUCAAUGUACGAUUCUUUCAGAAAUAGGGUCAAGUGUACAUGUGGAUCUAAUUAGAUUUUUGACAUGAGUAAUAUGGAACACAAGUCAUUUAGAGACACUUAAUUGUUUAAUAUAUUAGGAAUGAAUGAAGUGUGAUUAUUCAUAUGAUUAUGAUUGAAUGAUUCAAAUAUAAAUUUUAAAAAUCAUUAACUUAGCCUAAUUUCUUGUUAGUAUCAUUUUUUUGUUAGUAUCGUUUUUUUUUUAGAUUUGUUAUGAUCGUGAGUUACAUGUGAACAUAUGAUGUUGUAUGUUAUAGGCCUCAAAAUUGAAAAUGAGAGAGUUUUUUCUUUUAAUUCUUUUGAUGUUUUAUUUUGAUGUAUAUAUUUGAUUAUGAUAUAAUAAUAUUACAAUGUAAAUGUUAUUUAUAUACUAUCACAUGGUAAAUUAAAAUUUAAUAAGGUAGUUAAGGAUGUUAUAAUUAUUCUUUUAAUUUAUUUUAUUUCACUGUAUAUUUAGGUGUAUUACGUAAAAUGUAUAGUUAAAAAAAAUAAUGUUAUUUUGAAAUUUAAGCUUUUGUUAAAAUUAUACCAUUUGAAAAGGAACACAGAACAAUCUUGACAAUUAUACUGACUUAGUACUUAUUUUAAUUUAUUAUAUUCAUGAGUAUUAUUUUUUUCUUAAACAUAAAUAUUGGAUAAAAAAUAUAAAUAACAUUUAUUUAUUUCAAAUUUAAAAAUCUUUAAAAUAAAUAUAAAUAAUAUUUUUAAUCAAGAUGUGUUUUUUAACAAUUUUUUUUAAUUUAAAAAUAAUUAAUUCGGACGAUGAUUAAAGAAAUAUUAACAAAUUAUUUCUGCGAUUAUAAUAAACCUUCAAUAAUUUUUGCACUUUCUAGCAUAUAGAAUAUGGAUCCUUUUGUGAUUUUUCUUUUCUAAAGUACAAUUGAUAUUUUAAAUGUUUUUCUAUUUAAUUUUCCUUUCUUAAUGCACAUAAAAAUUUCAGUGCACAAUUAUUACUCACCUUAAUUCAAAAUGGAAAUUAAAAUUCAAGAACCCUACUUAUAUAUUAAUAUUCAACGAUUUAAAAUAUUAGUAUGCAAAUUAAUCUUUCUUAAUAAUAUUUGUAACAAUUUUUAAUAAUUCAAUGUGAAAUAUGUAAUAAUUACUUUUCUAUGAUUCAGAGGGAAAAUUAUUCCAACUAGACUUUUACAAAUAUAUUUCAAGUGGUAAUAUGAUUUUAAACAAAAAUAGUAUUCUCCACAAAAAUAAAUAGUUACUGUUCCUAAUUAAACAAGUCACAUUCUUGAACAAAAUAUCAAAUAACAAGGAAUUAGACUAUGAAAUGAUGACCAAUUAUAUUAAACAACAUAACAUACAUUUCUCAAUGUACACAAGGUAUAAAUAAUACAAUAUCAUCCAAAACCUGUGUUCACUAUGUAAAUAAACCAUUUUUUUUGCCAUUACCUCUUUCAUGAUGAUGAUUUGUUUACUAGGGAUUGCAAUGAUAGGUCAUGAUCAAAACUUAGGCCUAAGACUAAAAAUAGAAUGAAAUGAGCAUGAAAAUAAAGAUAACUUUUGAGUGAGACACAUUCUUCCUUACAAGCAGCAAGUUCUUCCAGGUUAUCUUCUCUUCCUUCAACCGUAGCUGUGCAACCGCCUGUUGUUCAUUGCCACCAAUAUCUCUAGUGCCAAAACUAUGUUUUCCAAAAUUAGAGUUAUAUGGCUUUAUCUGUGAAGUCUUACCAGCCAUAAUGUUUUAUUUUACUGUUUUGUUGUAAUCAUGCCAAUAGAUAAAUCGUGGAUUUGUAAACCACGAAACACCAUUGAGUAUGCAAAUGGGUUGAAUGUGUUUUUGGAUAUUGCAUUUCAACAUGCUAAUGGUCCUGUAAUUAAGUGUCCAUGUGCAAAGUGUGGUUUCAAAAAGUGACAAACAAGGGAUGUAAUCCAAGAACACUUAACAUUUACAACUUUCCCUCAGAACUACAAAACUUGGUAUUUGCACGGUGAAAGACCAAGUGUAAUUGAGCCUAUGGUCACUACAAGUGUGCAUGUCAUUGAAGAUUUAUUUGAAUCUCAAAAUACAAUGGAAGACAUGUUGAAUGAUGCAUUCGAGUUUGCGGGACAUGAUGAGGAUACUGAAGUUGAUGGUUUGCAAACUAAUAUGGUGGGUGAUGAAGGAAUAUGAACUUUGAUGAAUUGAUGAGGGACAAUAAUGAACCCUUAUAUGAAGGUUGUACAAAGCAUUCGAAGUUAUCAUUCAUGUUGAAGUUGUACCAUAUCAAAUGCAUGAGUAGAAUGAGUGACAAAGCAAUGACCAUGAUUCUAGACUUGCUAAUGAACACAUUUGAACAUGCUAAGUUUCCUAACUUGUUUUAUGAGGCGAAGACUGUGAUUACCAAACUUGGACUUAAUUAUGUCAAAAUACCAGCUUGCCCAAAAGACUGAAUGCUAUAUUGGGGCGAAGACAAUGAAGGCUUAGAAGAAUGUAAACGGUUCAAAACGUCUAAGUGCAAAAAAAAAAAAAGAUAAGAAGCAAUUGCAUUACUUUCCAUUAAAACUGUGAUUGCAAAGAUUGUUUAUGAGUUCUAAGAUGAUUGAGUCUAUGACAAGGCAUGCAUCAAAGGAUAAUCAAGAUGGAUUGAUGAGGCAUCCUAGAGAUUCUGAGGCUUGCAAAUCAUUUUAUUGCAUCCAGAAUUUGUAAAUGACCAUUGAAAUGUACGAUUAGACUUAGCUGCUUAUGGCUUUAAUCCUUAUGAAAACAUGAGUAAAAACCAUAGUAUAUGACGAGUGGUUAUCAUCCCAACAAUCACCCUCCUUGGGAGUUAUGAAGCAAACAUCUUUUAUCCUCUACAUGAUAAUUUCUGGAAAACAAAUGGUAGAAAAUGACAUUGAUGUUUAUUUAAAACCACUUAUAAGCAAAUUGAAGGAGUUAAUAGUAUGAUCAUGUAAUUAUUAUUUAUAUACUAAAUAUUACGACAUAUAGUAAUUUAAAAUUUGAUAAGGUAGAUGAGGAUAUUAAAAUAUCUCUUUUAAUUUAUUUUAUUUUAUUGUAUAUUUAGGUGUAUUAUGUAAAAUAUAUAAUUAAAAAAAAUAAUGUUAUUUUAAAAUUUAAAGAAUCACGUAUAGAAAGAAACAUAUAACAAUCUUGACAAUUAUAUUCUGACUUAGAGAUACUUAUCUUAAUUUAUUAUAUUCAUGAGUAUUAUUUUUUUCUUAAACAUAGAUAUUGGAUAAAAAAUAUUAAUAAUAUUUAUUAUUUAAAUUUUAGAAAUAUUUAAAAUUAAAAUUAAAAUUAAAUAAUAUUUUUAAUUAAAAUAUGAAAAAAAUUCCUUAACAAUUUUUUUAAUUUCAAAAUAAUUAAUUCAGAGGAUGAUUGAAAAAAUAUUAACAAAUCAUUUCUGCGUUUAUAAUAAACCUUCAAUAAUAUUUGUACUUUCUAUCAUAUAGAAUACUUAAUGGAUCCUUUUGUGAUUUUUCUUUUCUAAAGUACAGUUGAUAUUUUAAAUGUUUUUCUAUUUAAUUUUCAUUUCUCAAUGACAAAUAAAAUGGUUCAGUGCACAAUUAAUUAUUCUCACCUUAGAUUUCAUUCAUCUCAUUCCAUUUCCACACUCAAAUCAUUCUCACAUUUUUUUCUACCUAUUUCACAAAGUUUUUGUUAAAAUAUGGAAAUUAAAGUUCAAGAACCCUACUUAUAUUUCAUAUUCAACAAUUUAAAAUAUUAAUAUGCAAAUUAAUAUUUCUUAAUAAUGUUAUUUUUAUGUAAAAAUUAAAAUGUAGUUUAGUCAUUCAUACUUAGAUGGAUAAAAAUGGUUUUAGAAAGAAAAAAAUAUGCAUUUUUUUGAAAGGUUAUCUAAACUCUAAACUCAUUGAUGAAUUAAUAAUAAUAAAUAAUAUGGAAUUCUAUACGAAUAGCAUAUAAAUGUUUUCUUGUUGAAACUGAUAAUUAAUUCAGUCUAGGGACAAUUAUCGCGGUAUUUGUUCUUUUAUUUUUAAUGUUUAAACAAUUAUAAAAUUCUGUUUUUAGAUAUUAAAAUGAUAGUUUUCAUUUACAGAUUAAAAUAUUACUUGUUUCUUUUAAGAUUUUUUGUAUUAUAAUUAUUUGUUGUCUGAAUUGUUUUGAUUUAACAUGUUGUUUUCUUGGGCUAUGAUAUUGUGAGGUUUUAUUACAUGCAGGUACGUGAAUAUUUUUUUUAUCCUAGUUGUAUAAAUCAGGAAAAUUGUUUUUCACAUUAUAAUAACCGUUUAACAACUCUAAAUAAUAAUAAAAUAUUAACUCAUAUUGUUUAAUUAAAGUAUAAAUUAAAUUAUUAAAUAAAAAAGUAGUAAAACUGGUUGCAGGAUGGGAAUAUGAUUAUUUUUAACUGCUAGCUCCUGAUUAUUCUUUUCUAAUAAAAAAAACACCAAUAGCAACAAAACAAGUUUUGACACACGUAGGUUUGGCAAUUGUUUUAAUAGCUGAAAAUAGUACAACAAUUUUUAAUUACCACAAACUGCAUCUUAAAUCAUAAAAAAUUAGCAUUUUGUUAGUUCAUAUAUAAUAAAAUUUCCAUAAAACAGCCAAUUGUAUUAAUUAUUAAUAAUGUAUUUACAAUUUUUUUAGAUAAUUUUUUUACUAUAAAGACAUUUAUUUGAGAUUGAAAUUGUAAUUAACACUUUUUGGUCAAAGAAUAAUAUAUUUCACUUGAUUUUUUGUAUUAAAUAUUUUGUAUAGCGCUGAGACAAAAAAAAAUCUCAUAUAAAUCCCUAUGUGCUACAAGUACAAUAUAACAUCCUUAAUGUAAGCAAUAAAAAUGAUGAAUACUCAAAGUCGUGUAAUUACGCAAAAGAAUCAAGUGAUUUUUAAAAGAACUCACAUGAUCAGUUUAAAUUUUGACGAUAAAAUACAUUAAUUAUAUAUAUUUAUUCAAAAUUUCAAUUAUAUUAUGCAUUAAUGGUUUUAUGCUUUUAGAGGAAUCAGAGAAACUUAGAAAAGCUCCUAAAAACUAAUGUAACCCUAUGAAUAGAAGAGAGCUAAAAGAAAGAGAAAAUGGAAGUGAGAAAAGAUGAUAAUUAAUAAACACGCUCUCUUCAUAACAUAGAGUCUUUAAACCUAUAUUCCCUCAAACAAUUAUAAAGAAUUAACAAUCACACUUUUAUAAGUCAUCACCCACAUGAAACAAAACAAGGUGCCUCAAUAUGAAUAAACCAAGAUUAAUAAGAAAUAUGAGGUUUCACUAACCAAGCUCAGAAUUUUCUGCUUUUAUAGCUCCAUGCACAAACCUAAUACAAUGAUAUGAUAUUCACUGCAAAUGCAACCCAAAUAUGCUAAAGAAGUUAAUGAAACCCAAAUAUAAAGAAUUUGAAGAGAAUGCAACUCUGGGACAACAGAGCACACCAUCUCAUGCUGAACAGAAACAUCAAACUAUAUCUAACAAUAACUAUACCUAUGUUUGCUUUGGGUCUGUUUUUAGUUUCAAUGUUACUCUUUAUCUGCAGGUUGGGAACAUAUCUUGAUGAAAUAUAGAAACAUUUUUAUUCAUAAUAUAUAUAAGGAUUACACAUUCAUAAUUAUUUCUUUCUGUCGUAGCAUUGUCUACCUCAAAUCACUGCAACUUUCUGUUGUUGGUAUUUGCAUAUCACGAUGGUUAUUGAGAAAUUUAGGAGUUUGCUGUUGUGUACCAGAAGUAAAAUAGAAGGUUCAUUUUUUGGUCAUCAUCAAUUAUUAAUGUAAAUAGAUAUAGGUGAAGGAGAUCAGUAUUAUGCAUUGUAUCAUGGACCAUUAGAAGACUAGGGUCACCAAUUGGAGGCAUUGGUAACUUUGGCUAGUAAAACUAAAACCAAAGUCCAUUUUUACAAAGCCUUGGUCUAAUUCACCUUAUAGCUGUACUUUUUCCUCCAUUUUAAUAAUAUUAAGUUUUCAUUUUCUAUGCAUAAUCUUGGGUAAUUUUCUUUUUAUAUCAAUGCUUGAAGUGUCAAAUUGUUACAAGCUGGAUUAUUAAGAAAGAAAAGAGUGCAUUCUGGAUGCUCGAAAGGGAGUGUUUCCUAGAAAAAAAAUGUGAUUUCAGGGUGUCCAGGCUCAGGUAGCAAUGGUAGGAGUUCCACAUUGAAAUGGAUGAACUACUUGAUUUAGUACUUUGGGACUCUCUCACCUAAUGGACUAGUAUUUUGGGUUAGCUUCUCUCCCCUUAAUGCUUAAGUCCUAAAAAACAGUUUUUCUGUUUCUAUUUAUCUUUUAGGGUGUGAUUAGGACCAUGAAGCAGUGGGUGUUUUUUCCAUUAAUGAACUUUGCCACUGCCACAGAUCACCUAGGUUAACCUAAUUAAGUCUUCUGAAUUGUAUUUUGUAAUUAAUUCUUGUAAAACAUGGAGUGUAAAAUUCAUGUACAUUUUUCUUUUCCUCUUUUGAUUUGGAUGUCAAACUAGCAACUUCAUGUUUUGUCUGGUUGGUCUAUCACAUUUAUGUAGGUUGUAAUCUAUUUUGCCUAAUGCAUCAGUUGCAGAUAGGUACUAAAUUAUCUUAGUUCGGAUACACCUUGCCAAUUAGAUUAAGAUCAAGAAUUUAAAGUGAAUGGUUCACUUCUGAGUUCUUAAAUGAGAUAAAAUGUUCAGAGAUACUAAAUCAUCGCCUUCAUUUGAAAAUUGGCGUGCCUAUUAUGCUUUUGAGAAAUAUUGAUCAAACCAACGGUCUUUGUAAUGGAACAAGGUUGCAAGUUAUUGAUUUGAAGAAAAUGUUAUUUGUGCAAUAGUUCUAACAGGAACAAAUAUUGGUGAUAAAAUCUUCAUUUCAAGAAUGAAUUUGAUCCCUUUAGAUGUAGGUAUGCCAUUCAAAUUCCAGAGAAGACAAUUUCCAAUAGCUUUAUGUUUUGCAAUGACAAUUAAGAAAAGCCAAGGUCAAUUAUUGACCAAAGUUGGUUUAUAUUUUUCACAUCCAAUUUUCACACAUCGAUAGUUGUAUGUAGCUAUUUAUAGAGUUCGAAAGAAAAAAGAUUUAAAAAUUCUAACUCUUGAUGAAGAUGGAAUGCAACAAACAAGAAAAAGAAAAUGUUUACACUGAAAUUUUUGACAAUAUUUGAAAACAAUAGAAUUAUAUGAUAAACUUGGAAUGGCUAAUUCUCCCUGCAACCAAUAUUUUUGAACCUGCAACUUUUAAAUUUUUGAAAAUGCUCUUUAUUCCAGAAAUGAAAAUAAUACAUUACAAAAAAAAUAGAUCCAAAAAAGAUUAUUGUGUUUUGGUAAUAAAAAUCGGAAAACAAAAAUCAAAAGCCCAUUAUGAAUAAGAAAAUUCGUAAUACAAAAAAUUUGGUCUUAAAAACAAAAUCUGAAAACAUAUUCCAGAAAGAAAAUCCGAAAUGUAUUUUUAUAUAUAACCCAUUUUUUCAAGGGAGUUUCGUCUUUUCUAUUGUAAAAGGGGUUGGAAUUUGCUCCCUUGGAAUUAUAGUUUCUUAUGUGUGAUGUAGUAACAGUUGCCUUAUUUAAAAUGUUACUAAAUAACAUAUAAUUUAUAUCUGUUAUUUUUAUUCUGUUAUGACUUUAUAUAUUUGUCACAACAUGAAUGAGGCACAAACCCAUCUCAUGUUAACGAAGUUGAGAAUUUUCUGAUUUUACAGGUCCAUGCAAAAAUCUAAUAUAAUGAUAUGAUAUUCAAUAUCAAGAGGUACUUGUCGUAAAACGGGGAAUAUGAGAGACUCCAUAGAAUGAAGAAAAAGUAUAAAGAGGAUUUACAAAUUAACCUUUCAAAUGCAGCUCCUCAGAAUUUCAUAAUGCCUUCACUGCAAAUGCAACCCAAAUAUGCUAAAGAAGUUAAUCAAACAAUACAUGAGGAGUUUCAAGAAAAUGCAACUCUGGAACAACAGAGCAACCCAUCUCAUGCUGAACAGAAACAUCAAACUAUAUCUAACUUAGAAAUCUUUGUCAACAAUUGAACGAACCCACUCCUUAAAUACCAUUGAAAAUGUAAAUAAAACAAAAUAAAUUAAAAACGAGAAAUUCAUAAUAAAAAUUAAACGUGUUGAACCCUGUAAUUUAGAAGUAUUAACGAUAAGGCAGUUUAGAUCCUCACCAAUGAAAGAGACUAGCUGACUAGGUAGCUUUCGGCCUUCCUCUUCCUAUCUUCCCUUGUUUCUCUUGAAGACUCUGCAAUAUUGCUUCCAUUGGAUUGUUCAAAGUCAACAGCACCACCAUAUUUAUCAUCUUUCUUUUUCGUAUAAAGAGGGCAUAUGCCGCAUUCCUUUAUUGUGAUACCUGAUUUCAACCGAAAGUGAUAAUCACACGGACUGAUAAGUGAAGCUGCGAGCAUCACAGAUUCUAAGGCUCAUGCCGCUCGCCCUUAGGAACUCCAAGUUAAAUUUCCACACGAAUGUGUGAUCUUGAUCAACACAUCUCUCUUCACCAUUCGAAAUAGCUGUUUAACACAUCUAUCAUCGCUGCAGAAACUUAAAUCUUCAUUUAUAGUCACUGAAUGUCCCUUCCCACGAAAAUGGAACCAACCAGGAACUGCAGUCCCUGGAAAACAGAAGAACACAGACCUAUAUCUAUCGUCGGUCAUCCUAAGCCUUGCAUCCUCCUCAAUGUUAGCACGACCACCUGAAUCCAGUUGCUGAGCAUUGGUGAAAUGAAAUUUGAAUACACCCUCUUUGGAAUUUGAGAGGUUUCGAACAAGAGAAUUUGGCAUCACUCUUCUAAUGGAUGGGCAAUCCAAUGCCACGAGUUGCUUUAGAAAUGGUGGAAUCUGUGGGAUGCAUUCAAGCUUUUUGCAGUCGCUUAAAUCAAGCGAUUUCAAGCUUGAAAGAUGAGCAAUGCUCUCAGGAAGGUUCACGAUUCCGCUAUCACGCAGUGAUAGUUCCAUUAAUAACGUCAAACGACCAAUGUGUCUUGGGAUUUCUGUUAAUUUGGAGCACCCCGAACAAUUUAGAGAGAAGCUUCAGAUUAACAAUGGAGUUUGAAAGUGACUCGAUAUCAGUGUAUUUCUGAAGCUCCAAGGAUCGAAGAUUAACGAAAUUGCAAAAUGAGGAAGGCAACUGCGCAAACUCAGUUGUUGAAGCCCUACCAAACGGCACAAGGAUGAAGGUAGUGCCUGUAUGGCUGUGGCGUCUAAGAUGAGCACCGCUAGAUCUUCCAACGUGUCCUGAAUCUGGGGUAAAUUUUCCAAUUUUGAGCAACCACGGAGAGAAAGUUGCUUUAGGAAUUUCAUAUCAGAAAGGUCAAAUGGAAAGAUUGUAAGGGAAGAACAGUAAGAGAGAUCUAAAUGACAGAGCUUCUUGCAACUAAAGUGUAAGGGCACACCUUUCAUGAAUUUUGUCAACACUUCUAAGUAUAUAGUAUUAUUAGCCACUUCUUCUUCUUCAUUAUAUCUGUCAAAAGUAAUUGAGGAAGUUGGGAAAAUAUGACCACUGUAUGCACGAGGUUCACCACGCCGUCCUGCACCAUGCCGUUCUGAGAAAUUUAUCUCUUUGAUCAUAUCCGGUUUCUGGCGAUGGAAUCUUGAGAAAGUUUGACGUUGACGCUCCACGCUCCAGUAUCACAUGAGGGAAUCUUGAGAAAUUUCCACGUUGAUGCCCCAGUUUCUGAUGUGGGUAUCUUGUGACGCUCCAGUUUCACAUGACGAAAUCUGGGUUCACUGGUUGAAAACAUAUUAAGCUUCCCACAACAGGAAAUAUUAAUCCAUCCUUGUAAUGUGGAUAAAAUGUUGCUGGGAAUAUUUAUACUAUUCAGAUCAUAACAAUUAUCUAAACAUAAAUAACUGAGCUUGCUGAGUAAUAUCGAAGAGUGAACUUUAAUCAACUUUCCACAAUAACUCAGAAUUAUUUCUUCAAUAUUUGGUAAGAGAGAAAAGUCUGGUAUUCUAGUAAGUUUCCGAGAACCACUCAGGUCAAGCCUUUUCAAGUUUGGUAAAUUCUGCCACAAAUAGUAAAUGAAUCAGGUAACAAAUAAAAACCACUGUUAAAAAAAUCACACUCUGAACUAACAAAACUGUGGCUAUUCACUAUCAACAAUCCCUCUCAAAUACACUUCUACUAAUACAUUAACAACAAUAUCAUUAUAUUAACCAUAAAAUAUUACAUUUCUUCAGUUAAUACGUAGGACAAUAUAAUAAUCAGGUCACUCAGCUAAUGAAAAAAAUUAAACAACAUGAACUCAAUUAAAUAAUAUAAAACUUUUGAGUACUAGAUAAAAUAAGAAAAUUAAUAAAAAUUCAAUUUGAAAAUAAUCAAAUUUAUAAGAUACUUAAAACUUAAUUAAACCUACAAAUUUUCAUUAUAUGGAGUUAAAUACUAUAAAUAUUUACCACAUAAGUAGAAUGUUUAAAUAUAUAUUUCUUCACGUUGGAAGUUUUUUUCCUCUAUCUUAUAAGUUUUCUUUGUUUCUUUAAUAUUUUUUAAGCCAAUGUGAUUUUUUUAAUAUAAAAUAUUAUUAAAGAUAAAAUAUGAAGAUAGGGUAAUUAAAUAUAAUUUUUUAUUUUUUAGAAAUGAUGAAAAUUAUAAUUAAAUUAACUAAAUUAUAUAAAAUUCUAUUUCAUUUACAUAACUACUUUUCAUAUUAAAAAAACUAUAUAAGAUCUUGAAACUAUAAUUAAUAUUUCUACUCAUUUUUCGUUUUUGUUGGUGAAAUCUUGAUUUUGGGAUAGUAUUAGUGAGAUAUUGUUUGGAGUUAAAAACAAGAAAUUCUUUUGCAUAAUCAAUUUGAACAGUUUUGAUUUUGAAACCAGAUUUUCAGAGAAGAGUUUAAAGCGUUCAAAUGCAGCAAGAGCUUGAGAUUUAGCAUGCUAGAGAUAAAUUCAUGUAUAUUUUAAAUAUGCAUUAGGAAAAGAGAUAUCGUAUGAUGCAACAUUAUUAGCACAAACAACAAACAGCAGAACGUCCCCAAAUAUCAAUAUAGAUAAAUUCUAAAAGGUGAUUAUCCACACUGUUUUAGAACAACUUUGAUUACAGAAAAACUAUAACGCCCAAGUCUAUUAUGCCACAAGUGAAAAGAAGUUUUUUCAUAUUUAAAAGAUGUGUAGUUAGCAGAAAAAACAGAGGAUCAGAGAUCAAGAAAGACAGAGAGAUCAUCUUUAAGUGUGCCUUGUAGAAGAAUCUGUUUAGUUACUUAGUCUUUAACAUAGCAAGAAUGAGGGUGAAAUUCAAAAAACACAUUGUUGUUACGAGCAAACUUUGAAACACUAAGCAAAUUCUUAGUAUAAUGAGAAACAUGUAAAAGAUCAAGGAGAGAGAAGGAAGUACAAGAGGUAGACGACACACAGGAAGCAGAACCAAUGUGGGAGAUUUUUAUACCUGCACCAUUACCAAGUUUAACGUUCGCAAUGCCAUGAUAGAUUUGUUGAUCAUUGAACAGAGUAUGGUCGUUUGUUAUAUGGUGAGAGACACCGCUAUCUGGGUACCAUAAUGGAUCUUCUAAAGAUGAUGGUGGACCAAGAAGAGAGUAAGAAGAGUCAUCACGUGGAGGUGGAGAGAAAUGAGAUGUGUUUGCAGAGGAGGAUGGUGGUGUAGUACGAUCAAACCAGUGCCAACAAUGAAGAGCAGUGUGUCCAAGUUUGGAGCAUAUUUGACAGCGAACAGGGUUGCGUUUCCAUGAUGAAGACGUAGUGGAGUUCCAAGAAGAGUAUUGGGAAGGUCGGGGUUUGCCGCGGUUGAACUGAUUCUAGUUAGAUGUGGGAUUGUAACCACGACCACCACAGGAGGAGUUGGAAAAGGGGAGGUGGAGAGAAAUGAGAUGUGUUUGCAGAGGAGGAUGGUGGUGUAGUACGAUCAAACCAGUGCCAACAACAAUGAAGAGCAGUGUGUCCAAGUUUGGAGCAUAUUUGAGAGCGAACAGGGUUGCGUUUCCAUGAUUACGACAGUAAUAAAUGUAUUAUAUUCUUCAGAUAGCCUUCAAGGAUGAUGUCAAUAUGAUCAGUGGAAACAGGGGCAUCAAUAGCGGCAAGCAUGUUGACGGCGUUCUUGAUAUCAUGGAGAUAGGAGGAGAUGGAUCUGUGAUGACCUGAUUUUGUUGUUGGUACCAUUAGAGACUUGGGGACUGUCAUCAGUGGUGGAAGAAGUGGUUCUUGAUGGAACACUAGUGUCGUCAAGAAAAUGACCCAGUUUGAGCCCGCAAAUGGAGGCAAGGACUUGAUGUUUCCAGAGAAGAUAGUUAUCUUCAUCUAGUUUAAGAGUGAUGGGUGUUGUGAACUGUUGAACGGAAGGCAUGACCAGAGGUAACGGGCAAGAAGAAGAUGCAAAAGAAGAUGAAGAGAUAUGAGUGCAGUGCAUUAGAAUAGAGAGAGAAAGGAGAAAGAUAUUAUCUUAGUAUAUGUGCUAAAGGUAUAUAAGGAGUGCAGAACUGGAAACACUUACAAAGUUGUCGUUACACAGUUAUAGUAUGGUUAACAAUGUAUAAUACAGAAAACAUGCUUGUGUACUUUAUUUUUAUCUUUGAAAGUUUAGAACACAGAGGAACAUAGAUAGCUAGAAAAACCUGAUCUCCUUCCCAGAGUUGUUCAAGAUGGCAGCCUGGCAUUUCCAGGGUCACAGUCUGGCAUUUCCAGGGUCACUAGAUUUUGUGGGCAAAAGUUUGGAGGCCAGAAUCUUUGAGGGAAACCGUUCCAAUAAAGAAACUUUAGAGUGUCUGGCAGACCUACAAGAGAUGAUUCAAGAGACACAUUUGAUAUGAAUAUAGGCAUGUAGACCAUAAGCAUCAUAAGAUUGUCCAUCUUUUCGAAACUUUGUGCAUGUACUACAGCAUCUUUUACUUUGUUCGUAUGUAGUAAUAUACACUGUAUUGCAUCUGACCCCUGAAAGUAAAUCAAUUUAAUUAGGAGAAAAAAAACAUGAAAUGUUGCAUUGCAGGAUGUUUAAUGACAUCUCAGUGGUUUGCAAUUUUUUACAAAGUAAAUCCAUUCUCAAUUGAGUAACGACAUAAUACCUUGUUCUUUCUUAAAACCUCUCAAAUUUCCUCAGCAUUAAACAAUCGGCUGCGUUUUCCAGGAUGCUGAGGACACUCUUUACGAACAAUUUCUUGACUCAUUUCUNNNNNNNNNNNNNNNNNNNNNNNNNNNNNNNNNNNNNNNNNNNNNNNNNNNNNNNNNNNNNNNNNNNNNNNNNNNNNNNNNNNNNNNNNNNNNNNNNNNNGAUCCAUCUUUUUCUGCUGCUACCAUGUCGAACUCCCUUCAAAUCAAUACAAUGUCUUCACCAUCAAUCAGCCAAGUGAUUAAUGUUAAACUCACACAAGAAAAUUAUUUAUUGUGGUCUGCUCAAAUCCUUCCCUAUUUACGUAGUCAGGGGCUGGUUGGGUUUGUGGAUGGAUCCAUGCCACCACCAAACCAAACGAUUACGGUUGAGUCAAGUGAAGAAACAGGGAGCCGCAAAAUCCUGAAUUCACAGUCUGGUACCCCCAGGACCAGCUGGUACUCAGUCUCAUCAACUCAUCGGUUACCGAGGAAGUUCUCAGCACGGUGGUCGGAAUCACCACUGCACGAGAAGCCUGGGAUAUGCUGGAGCGGCAAUUUGCCUCCACAUCUCGAGCACGAGCAAUGCAGAAUCAUAUGGAACUCUCCACGAUCCAAAAGAAGGACAUGACAAUUGCUGACUAUUUUCGUAAAGUAAAACGUCUCGGAGACACUCUGGCUGCCAUUGGCAAGCGAGUAGAGGAUGAAGAACUCAUCGCCUACAUGCUGCAAGGACUUGGUCUAGAUUAUGAUCCUCUUGUCACAAGCAUUACAACUAGAACAGAUGUUUACACUGUCAGCGAUGUGUAUGCUCAUAUGCUGAGCUACGAGAUGCGUCAUCUGCGUAAUGGUACUCUUGAGCAAUUUCCUUUUGCUAACAAUGUCAACAGCAUGUCUAAUCGAGGAGGAACUAAUGGACGUCGUGGUGGUCGUGGUCGUCAAUCAAAUGGUGGUCGAGGACAAACAUGGCACACUAGAAACAAUUCUGGACGUCAGCCAUCAAAGGCACAAAGUAACUCAGACAAAGUCUGUCAGAUUUGUGGUAAGCCAAACCAUGAUGCUUUGCAAUGUUGGCACAGAUUUGAUCAGGCAUAUUAAGCCGAAGACAAUCUUAAACAAGCAGUUGUGGCCACAAGUGGAUAUACUGGUGAUGCAAACUGGUACGUAGAUACUGGAGCCACAGAUCACAUCACCAACGAGUUAGAAAGACUUACCACCAACGAACAUUACAAUGGCACUGAUCAGAUUCAAGUUGCAAAUGGCUCAGGUUUUUCUAUCUCUCAUAUUGGGAACUCAUUAAUUUCUGGUUCAUCUAGAUCUCUUGUACUGAAACAUAUCCUAUAUGCUCCUAAAAUCAAUAAACAUCUGAUUUCAGUACAAAGACUAGCAUCUGAUAAUAAUGCCUUUGUGGAAUUUCACCCACACUGUUUUUUUGUUAAGGACCGAGCCACGAAGGAACUUCUGCUCACAAGUAGAUGUAAGAAUGGCCUCUACACUUUACCAAAUAACUCCAGCAAAGCAUUCCCGACAGCCAAACUUUCGAAAGAACAAUGGCAUAGAAGACUUGGGCAUCCUGCUUUCCCAGUCACAAUUAGAAUCUUGAAAAAUAAUAACUUAGCUCUAGAUACUAGAGUUUCUUCUUCCUUAAUUUGCCAUGCUUGUCAACUAGAAAAGCACAUCAAUUACCCUUUGUUUCUUCUCAACAUGUAUCUACAGCACCUCUUCAAUUGAUUCAUACUGAUGUAUGGGGUCCAGCCAUUGUCUUAGUGAAUAAUUCUAAAUAUUAUGUUUCAUUUGUUGAUGAUUUUAGCAGAUAUGUUUGGAUUUAUUUUUUGAAAUACAAGUCUGAUGUUGAGUCUGUGUUUCAUCAGUUUCAAAAACAUGUUGAAACCAUGCUAAACACCAAAAUUCGCUCUGUCCAGUCAGAUUGGGGGGGUGAAUACCAUCGUUUGCACCAAUAUUUCAAAACAACUGGAAUUGAGCAUCGUCUUUCUUGUCCUCACACACAUCAGCAAAAUGGGUUGGUAGAAAGAAAGCACAGACACAUUGUGGAAACUGGCCUUACUUUACUUGCCCAAGCUAACAUGCCUUUGUCCUAUUAGGAUGAAGCCUUCAAUACAGCUUGUUACCUUAUAAAUAGACUACCAUCUCGAAUCAUACAAGCAAGACACACCACUUCAUAAAUUAUUUGCAAAAAAUCCAGAUUACACCAUGCUUAAGGUGUUUGGCUGUGCUUGCUGGCCCAAUUUAAGGCCUUACAACACCAAGAAACUGAGUUUUCGAACCACUAAGUGUGUCUUCUUAGGCUAUAGUUCUUCUCAUAAGGGAUACAAGUGCUUAGAUAGAAGUACAAAACGAAUUUACAUCUCUAGAGAUGUAAUCUUUGAUGAAAAUGUGUUUCCUUUUGAAGAAUUAAAUUCUAAGUCAUCAAUCCAAACCAAAAAUUCACACCAGCCUGCUCUACUUCCAACCUUCGUUAAACCCGUUCCAUACACUGAAAAUGCUCUCACAAAUAUUGAACCAGUUGUUAAUGAUUCUCGUAUAAUUGAUGGUCAAUCUAAUGAUGUUGCUAAUAACAACUUGUCUGGUAUAAGCUUACAUCCUGCAGAUAAUACAAUAAGUCCAGAAAUUGUUGCAGAACAGGAAGCUGAGAACAGUCUGACCAAUUUCCAAGAACAGAUGUUCNNNNNNNNNNNNNNNNNNNNNNNNNNNNNNNNNNNNNNNNNNNNNNNNNNNNNNNNNNNNNNNNNNNNNNNNNNNNNNNNNNNNNNNNNNNNNNNNNNNNGAACAAGAUUGAAAAAUAACAUUGUCCAAGCAAAACAGUUCACUGAUGGUACUGUCAGAUAUUCAGAGACCUCAAGAAAGUUUACCGGUGCUGUCACUGUCAAAAAUCCGACCACAAUAAAUGUACUAAAAAAUGCUACUGAGACUGAUACAGUUACUGAACCUCAAAACCUGCAGGAAGCUCUACAAAGUCCAGGUUGGCAGGAAGCAAUGAAUAAUGAGCUCUCAGCAUUACAACACAAUGAGACUUGGGAUUUCGUUCCACCAAAACCUGGCAUAAAUCUCAUUGAUAGUCGAUGGGUGUAUAAAGUGAAAAGGAAAGCGGAUGAAUCAGUGGAGAGAUUGAAAGCAAGGUUGGUUGCUAAAGGGUUCAAGCAAAGAUUUGGCAUUGAUUACAUUGAUACCUUUAGCCCCGUGGUCAAGCCAUCAACAAUCAAAGUUAUUCUUUCACUAGCAGUAACCAAAGGCUGGAAUAUGAGACAAGUUGAUAUCCAAAAUGCAUUCUUGCAUGGAAUUUUGGAAGAGGAAGUGUACAUGCGACAACCAUCGGGAUUUCAAGACCCAUAUAAACCAAAGGAAUACAUAUGCAAACUCAAGAAAGCGCUUUAUGGCCUGAAACAGGCUCCAAAGGCUUGGCACUCAAGACUGACUGGAAAACUUAUGGAAUUAGGCUUUAGAGCUUCUGUAGCUGAUUCAUCUUUGUUUAUCCUCAAAAACAAAGAGGUAACCAUCUAUAUGCUCAUAUACGUUGAUGAUAUAAUUAUCGUGAGCUCCUCUGAUCAAGCCACCGAAAGGUUGAUUCAGAAGUUGAAAAUAGAUUUUGCUAUAAAAGACUUAGGUGGUCUUGAGUAUUUUCUGGGUAUUGAAGUCAAGAAGGCAAGAGAUGGCAUCACANNNNNNNNNNNNNNNNNNNNNNNNNNNNNNNNNNNNNNNNNNNNNNNNNNNNNNNNNNNNNNNNNNNNNNNNNNNNNNNNNNNNNNNNNNNNNNNNNNNNAAAUUAUUCAAAGAGCAGGGAACACUCUUGUCAAUUGAAGAACAAUUUAAAUACAGAAGUACUGUGGGAGCAUUGCAAUACUUGACAAUGACCAGGCCUGAUUUGGCAUUUGCUGUCAACAAGGUUUGCCAAUACCUUCAUACGCCUACUGAUGCUCAUUGGAGUGUUGUAAAGAGAAUCCUUCGUUAUGUCAAGGGCACAUUAGAUUUGGGAAUCAGAAUUCAGAAGUCUCCAACAAUGCUGCUGUCCGGAUUUUCUGAUGCUGAUUGGGCUGGUUGUCCUGAUGAUCGACGUUCAACUAGCGGCUUUGCUGUAUUUCUUGGAGCAAAUCUAAUUUCUUGGAGCUCUAGAAAACAAACCACAGUGUCCAGAUCGAGCACCGAAGCAGAAUACAAGGCCAUUGCGAAUCUGACAGCAGAAAUGAUUUGGAUAAAAUCAUUAUUGAAAGAGCUUGGUGUGUAUCAAUCAAAAGCUCCUCGACUCUGGUGUGACAAUCUAGGAGCUACAUACUUAACUUCAAAUCCAGUGUUUCAUGCAAGAACAAAACAUAUUGAAGUUGACUUCCAUUUUGUUCGAGAACAAGUGGCACGCAAAGCAAUGGAAGUUCAGUUUAUUUCAUCAAGUGAUCAAGUGGCUGAUAUCCUAACAAAACCACUGUCUAGAACUCUCUUUAUUACACAUUGUAACAAUCUCAACAUGUAUAAAACCUGUUGGGAUUGAAGGGGACUGUUAGAAUUAGUCAGUUAGAAGUGGAACACGUUUGUAGAAGUGGAACACGUUAGUUGGUUAGUUGCCUUAAGAAGCGGAUCAUGGAUCCAACCGUGUAUGCAAUCAGUUACCUUUCUUUAAUUAUAAAUACAAUACGUCCUCCACAUAGAGAGGUACAGUUAGCAAACUUUAUUAGAGCUGAAUCGGUAACAUCAUCAAGAAUGAGGAGAACCUUUGUCCGUUUGAGCCUUUCAUUGUAAUAUGGUGAAGAAGAGGAUUUCUCUUCCUUUAGAAGCUCAGACUGAUAUUUUGUUCUGAUACUGUCUAUUCCAUCUCUUUGUAUUUUUUCUUGAACGUCUAAAACAAGGCUGCUGGAAUCAAACUGCAAUGCCAAUUUGUGAUAUAUUUGAUUACAAAUUGUAGUUUUUCCUAUUCCUCCCAUGCCACAAAUUCCUAUGAUCCGAACAUCCGGUGACUCAAGAUGCAACAAGGACUGAAUUCCUUCAAUAUGUUUUUCAAUGCCGAUGAUUCCUUGAUCAUAACUGAUGGAAUAACGAUUCAAUUUUUUCAACAAGUGUGUGUUCUGUGCUGGCAGAUGAUUUAGAAAAUAAUGUAUAAGUAUUCAAGCACAAAAGCUAAACUAAAGAAAAAUUCUACAGCAUCCGUUUGUGACUUCUGAUACUAGGGAGAAGACUUGUAGGUACAAAGUUAAGCUAUAACAUGUAAUAUGGUUCAGAUCUAAGACCGACUAAUAGAAAUGAAAAAAGAAGCACUUGAUUUAGGGUGAGAUGAACACAAUUUUAGUAAAUGAAAAGAGAUCCUGAUUAUCUGGAAAGUGCGUGACCUGGUGACUUUUGAAUCCCAGCCUGCAAGUUCAGCAGCUUCGGUGAGAGCAUCCUUCCAUCCUUGCACUUUAUCGUGCUUAAAGUGCUGCUCAUGCUUUUCGAAUGCUUCUUUGUAUCUUUGUUCCUGCUUCCUAAUAGUUGAUGGAUCCACCUUGUAGAAAACAGGUAUGACAUCCCUUCCAAAUCUCUUCUUGCAUUCAAGUAUCUUAGUGAGUUCAUUCAAGCACCAAGUGGAAGAUGCAUAGUCUUGGGAGAAAACGAUGACAUAAAUCUUUGAAAAAUAAGUAUGAAAUCUAGAUAUAUAUCAUUAUCACGUGUGGAAGCUACGUCGUCUUGUAUUGGAUUUUCUAAUCUGCCUUUUAUCUUGUCUCAUUCUUCUUUAUCUUUUUUCUCUCAUCUCUCUUGCUUACGAUUUCUUUGCCUUUAUUCAGAAAUUUUAGUUAUAAUAAACCUUCAAUAAUAUUUGUACUUUCUAGCAUAUAGAAUACUUAAUGGAUCCUUUUCUGAUUUUUCUUUUCUAAAGUUCAAUUGAUUUUUUAAAUGUUUUUCUAUUUAAUUUUCCUUUCUUAAUGACACAUAAAAUGGUUCAGUGCACAAUUAAUUAUUCUCACCUUAGAUUUCAUUCAUCUCAUUCCAUUUCCACACUCAAAUCAUUCUCACAUUUGUUUCUACCUGUUUCACAAAGUUUUAGUUAAAAUAUGGAAAUUAAUGUUCAAGAACCCUACUUAAUAUUAAUAUUCAACAAUUUAAAAUAUUAAAAUGCAAAUUAAUCUUUCUUAAUAAUGUCAUUUUUAUGUAAAAAAUAAAAUGUAGUUUAGUCAUUUAUACUUAGAUGGAUAAAGAUGAUUUUAGAAAAAAAAAAUGCAUUUUAUUUCAAAGGUUAACUAAACUCUGAACUCAUUUAUGAAUUAAUAAUAAUAAAUAAUAUGUAAUUGUAUUCCAAUACCAUAUAAAUUUUUUUUAUUGGGUGCGUUUCUGAUGAAUUAAUGCACUCUAGGGACAAUGAUCGCUCUAGUAUUUGAUUUUUUAUUUAUUUUAAUGUUAAAAUUAUAGCUAUGUAGUACAGAUAUUACUGACACAGACAGACACGAACACGGACACAGAAAUACAUAAAAUCUCUAAAAUGUAGAAUACGGAGACAUUAAUCUAUAUAUUAUAUAAUUAUGAAUCAUAUAAAUUAACAAUAAAGAUUUAUGUGCACAAGUAUUUUUGAGAUUAUUUUUUAGAACAGAAAUAUGUUUUUCAUGACUAGUUCACAAAUAUUUGUUUCUUAUUCUUAUAAUCAUAAUAACAAUUUAUACCAUAAAGUUUCAAUUUUAGAAAAUUAAUGUAUUUUUUCUUUUUAAAAUUUCGUUAGAACUGUACUAGAAUUGUAAAAAAUCUAACAAAUACAUUUUGAAUUGGACAUUCCACGAAUACGUGUCCUACCAGUAUUUUGAACAACAUUCUUUCUUUUGGAACAAAGAGGGCAUAUGCCGCAGUCUUUUACUGUGAUAACUCAUUUCAACUCUCACACAACUGAUUCGUAAUCUGUGGGAUGCAUUAAAGCCUUUUGCAGUUAAAUCAAUAGUAUAUGAUGAUGUGAAUGUUAUUUAUAUACUAAAUAUAAUCACAUAGUAACUUCAAAUUUGAUAAGGUACAACAUGUUACCAUAUCUCUUUUAAUUUAUUUUAUUUCAUUAUAUAUUUAGGUGUAUUUAAUUUCUUUUAUUUCAUUGUGUAUUUAGGUGUAUUACGUAAAAUAUAUAAUUAAAAAGAAAGAAGAAUAAUGUUAUUUUGAAAUUUAAAGAAGACAUAUAGAAAUAAACAAGCUUUUGCUAAGAUUCCACCAUUGAAAAGGAACAUAGAACAAUCUUGACAAUUAUACUUUGACUUAUUUUAAUUUCUUAUAUUUAUGAGUAUUAUUUUUUCUUAAACAUAGAUAUUGGAUAAAAAAUACAAAUAACAUUUCUUUAUUUCAAAUUUAAAAAUAUUUUAAAUUAAAAUAAAAUAAUUUUUUAAUUAAGAUAUAACAAAAUAUUCUUUAACAAAUUAUUUUAAUUUCAAAAUAAUUAAUUCAGAGGACGAUUGAAAAAAUAUUAAAUAUUAUAAUAAAGCUUCAAUAAUAUUUGUACUUUCUAGCAUAUAGAAUACUUAAUGGAUCCUUUUAUGAAUUUUCUUUUCUAAAGUACAAUUGAUUUUUUAAAUGUUUUUCUAUUUAAUUUUUCUUUCUUGACACAAAAUGUUCAGUGCACAAUUAAUUACUCACCUUAGAUUUCGUUCUUCUCUUUCCAUUUCCACACUCAAAUCAUUUUCACCUUUUUUUUCUUCUUAUUUCACAAAACUUUAAUUAAAAUAUGGAAAAUAAAGUUCAAGAACCCUGCUUAUAUAUUAAUAUUCAAAAAUUUAAAAUAUUAAUAUGCAAAUGAAUAUUUCUUAAUAAUUUUAUUUUGAUGUAAAAAAUAAAAUGUAGUUUAGUCAUUCAUACUUAGAUGGAUAAAGAUGGUUUUAGAAAAAAAAAAAGAAUAUGCAUUUUAUUUGAAAGGUUAUCUAAACUCUGAACUCACUGAUGAAUUAAUAAUAAUAAAUAAUAUGGAAUUCUAUUCCAAUACCAUAUAGGAUGGAGAAAAGUAAGAAGAGGAUUUACACAUUACCCUUUCAAAUGGAGCUCCUCAGGAUUUCAUAAUGCCUUCACUGCAAAUGCAACCCAAAUAUGCUAAAAAAGUUAAUGAAACUAUAUAUGAAGAGUUAAUGAAACUAAAUGGCGUGUGCUGAAAUUUUUGAUCCGAUAACCAUGCCCACAUUCAAAAAGUGAAAGGUUACUUUGCUUUAUAUUCCUUUGGGUGGUGCUACUUUUCAACUUGACAACAAAUUCCCAUUAUUGUGUGGUUAUCAAUUACCAUUUAACUUAUUCUCAUACCACAUUCACUAUAUAAUAGUCCAUCAUAAACCCCAAAAUUUGCACAUUUUCUAUUUGCAAGACAUCCAACAGACAAAGAAAACAUGUGAAACUGUGUAAUAAUGUGAGAACGUAAGAACUUACUUCAUCAUGAAAUCAAGCCAUGCCUGAGGGUUUUUUCUGAGAGCAUUCACCACAGGUGCAUAUUCAUGUGGCUGUAUCCCAUACUCAGCUAGUAUUUCUGCUACCUCUGCCGCUUCUUUUUUUGUCAAAAAACACAUAUUCAUUAUUAAUGUGCAAUCAAAUGGUAACGAAACUAUGUAGUACAAACACACACUGAUACGACACUAGGACGAACAUACGUAUAAUGUUACUCCUUCUAUGGAAAUGAAGGAUAUUCAGCAAUAACUUUUAAAACUCAUUACAUAGAAAUUUGCAUCAAGUUAUCAAAGUCUAUAGGAAUGAAUUUUCAAUUCAUGGAAACACAGAUAACAAAAAGUAAUAGAAAAAUAGAAAAAAAGUUGUCAAAUGAUUCUAUAAAAAAUUAACCUAUCAUGAAAAUCAAGAUGAUAGAAAAUAAAAUAAUGUGGCAUGAACAUCAAAAUCGUAUAAAAGCAUAAUAGAAGAACAGUGGAUACCAGUUUCUGGCACGGCGAUGAUUUCUUCUUGCUCUCUUUUCAAUUCCCUCGAGUAAUUAUCGGCUUCACUUUUUGCUGCCAAAUAACUGCACAAUGAAAAUUAACAUGAAAUAAUAACGGAAUUUAAAUUGAGUUUUGUGAGUGUGAAGAGUGUGGUUGAACGUACCCGCCGAGGCCCAUGGAGAUGGCGCCGGCGGCGACUUCCGCUAUGCCAGCGGUGAGAACGAUGGAGGAGGUGACAUUGGCGCCGGAGAGGCCGGCGGCGAGGGCGAAGGGGACGGUGAGGCCGUCGGAAACGCCGAUGAUGAUGUCGCGGACUAUUUCGCCGGCGGUGAAGUGCUUCUCGGUGUGGUGGUUGAGAAGGUUCGUUCUCUCAGAAUCCACGCUUAUGCCGUGUUCGGUGGCGGCCAUUGGUGCAAGCUUGUGAAUGUGUUUGAGUUCGCCAACGUGCUCUGGGAAUCCAAACAAAGCCUUGCUGCUUUGCACAUAAAUUGAGCCUCUUUUGUGCUCAACUUACUCCUAAAUAGAACAAAAAUAUCUAACCGUUGAUGAUAUCCACGUGGAAAAUUAUCAAUGGAUAUCAAUAUCACAUUAUUUCUACACUAAUAUUUUAAUUAUUUUUAAAUAUUAUAACUAAAUCAAUCAAUAUAAUACCAAAUCUUCUUAAUUCUUUGGAUUAUAUAUAUUUUAUUUUAUUUUAUUUAUAAAGGAAGUUGUGAUAAAUGUUGUGUUUUGUGUGCACAUUAAUAAAAAUCAAAUAACCAAAAAAUAAUAAUCUUGUGAAAGAAAAAAUGGUAGAAUUUAUACUAUUCUACAAAAUUUUAAAAGUGGCUAAUGUGUUUUACUCAACUAUGUAAAUAAUUUUGGACUCUCUUGUUAAGGAAAUAAUGAAAUACAUUAAAUUUUGUUUUAUACUCUUACUUUAAGUUUUUUUGUGUUUCUCCUGACUUAAUUAAAUAUCAGAGAGUCGUCUUUUGCAGGUAGAUUUCAUUCUAUCAUAAUAUACCAACUGAAAACUUGUUUUCUGAAAAACACACGGCUCUCACCGAAUUGCACUUUCCAAUUUUUUUUAAUAGAAAUAAUAAUAAUUAAGUAUUUGUGUUCUUAUAUUUAAUUUUUAAUAAAAAAAUUAUUCUUAUGUACUUCUAAAUUGAUAUAUUUUACCAAUGUCUAUUAACAAUGGGAAGAAGUUUAUACCUAACAAAACUAUUUAACAUGAUUUGUUUGUAAAUUAUAGAAGUAUGUGUAGAAAGAUAUAAAAUUAAUGUUUUAAGAGAAAUUUAAGCAACUUUCAUAAUAUAUUGUAGAUUAUUAGUUGAAUUUAUGGAAAUUAAAAAUAAAUUGUAGGUCACCACACUUCCACUUUUUUUUAAUGAUAUCAAAUCACAACUUUACAAUUUUCACUAAUUUUUAACCAAUAACAAAAGAACAUCUUAGAAGAAGUGUGUUUAAGAAUUUGAUGUUAACUCUCAUUGUUUUUUAAACUUAAAUCCAGCUUUAUUCUUCAACUUUUAAUUUUUAUACAUAUUUAAUUGUAUAUAUAGUUUUUAACUCUCUAAAAUCAAACAAUUUUAAUUCAUUAAAUAGGCAAUGUCAUGAGUGUUAAACUUUUAACAUUUUUCUAGUAAUUAAAUUACUUAUGAAGAUUCAACUAAUUCAAAAUUUAAUAUUUUUACAAUUUUUAUUAUAAUAUUCUUAAAAUAUAUUUUAAUAUUUUGUUUUUCAUGUUUGAAAUAUAAAUGUUUUAAAAAAUCAUUUUAAAUUAUUUUGUUUCUCAUCUUAUGUAAUAAAUUACUAUAAUAAUUACUAAAACAUUUAAUACCUAUACAUUUUUAAUGAGCAAAAACUAAUAAUGAAUUAUAACAAAUAAAAAACGUUUCUGGGCAACAAAAUAGUAAUUAAUAUGAAUUAUAACAAAUAAUGAACGUUUUGUGGUAAUUUGUUUCACUUUCAAAUAAGUUAGUACUUCGCCUGUUAUUUCAUAACGGUAGUUUUUUUAAAUAUAUUAAGAAAAAUGUUUAUUUUUUUAUUUUUAAUGCACUUUUAAGUAACUUGCCUAUUAUAUUAUAUUAUAUGGGUAUUAUAUAUAUAUAGGUAAGCACCAAAAAAUAAAUUUAAGGUAAAAGUGAUAUAAUUAAAAUAAAAUAAAUUAUUAUUAAAUAGAAAAUAUAUAUAAUUAAAAAAAUCAGUUAUUUAAGUUUUAUUUUAAAAUAAUUUUUGUAAAAAAAUUUUCUUUUUUUCCUUGUUCACGAUUUUAAAUUUUAUAUUCACUUGGUAGACAUGUUUUGCAUGUGGUGUUUGGGACUUAAAAGAAUAAUAUAUGUUAGUUCAAGAUCCUAAUGAUGUGUUUUUAAGAAGUUGGACUAUCUUUGUUUUUUUAAGAAGUUGAAGUCUUUUUAUGAAUACUUAUCUUUUUAAACAGGUAAGAUAAACUAGUUUUAUCUGUAAAACUUAAGUUAGAAUAUCUGAAUAUGAAAUGUGAUUCUUCAUAUGAUUAUGAUUGAAUGAUUCAAAAUUCAAGUAUAAAGUUUUAAGAAUCAUUAACUUAUGUUUUUUUUUUUGUGCUAUUUUUUUGAUUUUUUGCAAUGAUUGUGUGUUGCAUGUGAGCAAAUGAUGUUACAAGUUGUAAACCUAAAAAAAAAUCAUGAAAUUUUGUCUUUUUUAUUCUUUUGAUAUUUUAUCUUAAUGAUAUAUAUAUAUAUAUAUAUAUAUAUAUAUAUAUUUAAAAAUCUCUAUAUGAAAGGAUAGUAUUUUAUGAUAUAAUAAUAUGAUAAUGUAAAUGUUAUUUAUAUAAUAAAUAUCAUGAGAUAAUUUAAAUUUUGAUAAGAUAAAUGAAGAUGUUACAAUAUCUCUUUUAAUUUUUUUUUAUUUCAUUAUAUAUUUAGGCGUAUUUAAUUUCUUUUAUUUCAUUGUAUAUUUAGGUGUAUUACGUAAAAUAUAUAAUUAAAAAGAAAAAAUAAUGUUAUUUUGAAAUUUAAAGAAUGACGUAUAGAAAGAAACAAGCUUUUGUUAAAAUUCCACCAUUGAAAAGGAACAUAGAACAACACUCUUGACAAUUAUACUUUGACUUAGAUACUUAUUUUAAUUUAUUAUAUUCAUGAGUAUUAUUUUUUCUUAAACAUAGAUAUUGGAUAAAAAUUAAUAAAAUUUAUUUAUUUCAAAUUUAAAAAUAUUUAAAAUUAAAAUAAAAUAAUAUUUUUAAUUAAGAUAUAAAAAAAUAUUCUUUACAAAUUUUUUUAAUUUCAAAAUAAUUAAUUCAGAGGAUGAUUGAAAAAAUAUUAACAAUCUAUUUAUGCGUUUAUAGUAAACCUUCAAUAAUAUUUGUACUUUCUAGCAUAUAGAAUACUUACUGGAUUUCUUACUCUUUCUUUCUACACCUCUAUCCAUACUAAAUAUAAAAAUACCAUUUUAUUCUUUUUUCUCCACCCCUUGAAUUUGAAAUAAUAAGCCCAUGGAUUAUGUAAUCUGGAUAUAUUCCGGAUUAGUCAAUUUCAUAUUUAGAAAAGACUUUCGGAUUAUGUAAUCCAGAAGCUAAUAAAACAUCUGAAAAAAAGGCUUCCGGAUUACAUAAUCCGGAAGCUAAUCUUAUGUAUAGAAAAGACUUUCGCAUUAUGUAUUCCGGAAGCUAAUCACAAAAGACUUCUGGAUUACAUAAUCCAAACGCUAAUUCUAAAUCUAGAAAAAAGACUUCCGGAUUAUGUAAUCCGGAAUAUUAAAAAAGAUAUUUUUGAAAUACGAAAAAUUUAUGGGGGUGACACAAGAAGGUAUGGAGGUGCAGGAAGAAACAGCCUGGAUUCCUUUUGUGAUUUUUCUUUUCUAAAGUACAAUUGAUAUUUUAAAUGUUUUUCUAUUUAAUUUGUCUUUCUUAAAUGACACAUAAAAUGUUCAGUGCACAAUUAACUACUCACCUUAGAUUUCGUUCUUCUUUUUCCACUUCCACACUAAAAUCAUUUUCACAUUUUUUUUACCUAUUUCACAAAAAUUUAAUUCAAAAAUGGAAAUUAAAGUUCAAGAACCCUACUUAUAUAUUAACAUUCAACAAUUUAAAAUAUUAAUAUUCAAAUUAAUCUUUCUUAAUGUUAUGAAAAAUUUAAAAUGUAGUUUAGUCAUUCUUGGAUGGAAAAAGAUGGUUUUAGAAGAAAAAAAUGCAUUUUAUUUGAAAGGUUAUCUAAACUCUAAACUCAUUGAUGAAUUAAUAAUAAUAAAUAAUAUGGAAUUCUAUUGGAAUAGCAUAUAAAUGUUUUGUUGUUGAAACUGAUAAUUGGGUGCGUUUCUGAUGAAAUUAAUUAAUGCAGUCUAGGGACAAUUAUCGCUCUAGUAUUUCAUUUUUUUAUUUUUAACGUUGAAAUUAUAAUUAUACAAUUCCGUUUUUAGAUAUUAAAAUGAUAGUUUUCAUUUACAGAUUAAAAUAUUACUUGUUUCUUUUAAGAUUUUUUUGGUAUUAUAAUUAUUUGUUAGCUGAAUUGUUUUGCGUUAACAUGUUGUUUUCUUGGGCUAUGAUGUAAGCAAUAUAAAUGUUAUUUUUAAUGUAAGCAAUAAAAAUUAUGAGUAUUCAAAGUCGUGUAAUUACUUAAAAGAAUCAAGUGAUUUUUAAAAGAACUCACACGAUCAGUUUUAAUUUUGACGAUAAAAUAUAUUAGUUAUAUAUAUUUAUUCAAAAUUUCAAUUAUACUAUGCAUUUAUGGUUUUAUGCUUUUAGAGGAAUCAGUAACUUAGAAAAGCUCCCAAAAACUAAUGAAAUCCCAUGAAUGAAGAAGGAGAACAAAUGGAAGUGAAAAAUCAGUAAGAUGAUAAUUAAUAAACACCCUCUCUUAAUAACAUAACAUAGGAGUCUUUAAACUUAUAUUCUUCAAACAAUUAUAAGCUGUCUUCAACUUUACUGUUAAACUACAAUUAUAAAGAAUUAACAAUCUCACACACCAACAACAUUUAUAAGUCAUCACUCACAUGCAACAAGGUGUGCCUCAAUGUGAAAAAACCAAGAUCAAUAAGAAAUGAGGUUCCACUUAACCAAGCUGAGAAUUGUCUGGUUUUCCAGCUCCAUGCACAAACCUAAUACAAUGAUAUGAUAUUCAAUACCAAGAGGUACCUUGUCGUAAAACUGAGAAUAUGAGGUUGCAUAGGAUGGAGAAAAGUAAGAAGAGGAUUUACCAAUUACCCUUUCAAAUGCAGCUCCUCAAGAUUUCAUAAUCCCUUCACUGCAAAUGCAACCCAAAUAUGUUAAAGAAGUUAAUGAAACCGAAAUAUGAAGAGUUUCAAAAUAAAAAUU